UCCCCUACACCUCCCUAGCCCCUCAGAGCCUCGCCGGAGUGCCUCCCCAACCUCCUCUGAUGCCACGGUCGCCGGCAAGCUUCACUUCGAUUCCAACGAUCCCGAGCCUCAUUCACUCUUCCUCCACCACCAGUACGCCGUCCCAGUGCUCCAACCCCUCCUCCGGCGCACCGGAGCGCCAUGCCCAUCUCCUCCCGAAUACCCCUCCGCCGCGGGCCCAACUGCGGCCAUUCCCGAGCUCCCCGGCGUCUUCCACGGCCGGGAACAGAUCCUCCUUGUCCUACUGAGCAUUUUAAUAGGUCGCCCGUCCCGAACGGUGGCCGGACUCGCCGGCAGUCGCCGUCGGGAUGGCCACCUCCCUCGGCCCAGCGCGCUCCCGAGCGGGAGGUUGAAGACGGUCAGGGCAAGGCGGGCCCCUCCCCGCGCGACCCCACCUGUCAGCGCCUCAAGGCCGGCCCCGCUCCCGCCACGUCAGUUAAGUGGAAGCGUACUCCACUGGAGUACGUCUUCCCUGCCGCGGAAGCGUUUUUGCAGGAAAUACGCUUUCUGUUUAAACCCUGCCGGCCGAAACCUCUAGUUUGUGAAUGUUCGUCCGUUAAGAGCAGAAAUGAAUACUUUUUUAUUUCUUUUUCUGCCUAACGAACAAAUGGUCAUAACUCUGUGACCGUGACUCCGAUUGAGGUGAUUCCAACUCCCACGUCUUCGCCUCGUCGAGCCCGUUCUGUUCACAUCAUCUCUACUCCUAAUGUUUGAGUUGGUUGAAUAGUACCACGGUUUAUUUUCGUCCGGUUUAUUUUCGCCUCACCUCCCACCACCCUCCCACGUUAAUGUUUUAUUCUUUGCACUUAAAACCAAAUCGCGUCUAAUACUCCUUCCAUUUAUUCAUGCUUGCUUUGGCAAGUGUCGAUUCAAUUCAACCAUGUAAAUAUUUGGUAAUUAAGAAUUCAUAAAUAAUAACAUACACAUGAGAUCACCUUCCAAACAGAUCACAUCGCCCUCCGAUUCAUUUCUCCCACCGAUCCCCUUCAAUACUUAGCUUCGCUAGAAAAAAAACACAACUAUCGAAGCCAUGCCCUCACAUGAUCACGUAUCACAAUGAGAAAACUCCUUAUAUUGUUUCCCUAUUUAAAUAUACUAGCAAACAUGCCCGUGCGUUGCAACGGGAGAAAACAACCCUCUCACAUGCCCUUACCCAUUGAGCAUGGCUAAAGAAUUCACCCUUAUGCCCAUAACAUAAUAAACAUGACUAAUACCUAAUCCUCACGUCCACAUCCUCCAUUUCAGUAUAACACCAGACACAUGUUUCCGCUUGUCGUCUUUUCUGUCCUCAUCACUGGUGGUCGCAUUAUCAGUUGUCACUAACCAGGGUUGACCAGGUGCAAUGGAUUGUUGAGCCGCCUUCAUGUCCGGCGAAGAGAAAGAGCGUUGAACAAAGUUUUUUAUUUAUCAUCUGGCUAAUAUAAUAGGGAAAAGCACUGCACAAAAUGUAUGUCCAUGUCAUUAUGUAAAUUGAAUAGUUUGUGUCAGAUUGAUCAUGAAAUCUUAGUUGGACUCCUCAUGCAUUUUGACAGGAAUCACUGGGCCGAGUGAGACUCGUCGUACGUGUGAAGACGCGAUAGAGAAAAAGAUUCCUUCCAUAUCCAUAGUUUGAACUAAAACAAUGCAUCAGGUGGGCAUAUUUCAAAAAUUCACCAAGUUUUAUUAAUAGGUAUAGACUAAAGCAAUUUAGCUAUAAUACCUCCCAGUUUAGAAAAACAUGUUUAAGAAAAUAUUUUCCUUUUCAAAUUUAAAGUUCAAAAAAUAUUCGUGUUUUAAAAAUGUUUGCAAAUUAAAAAAUAAUCAAAACAGUACCUCCUAGUUUUAAAAAAUUGUUUUUGUUUUAAAAUAUACUCAAGUUUAAAGAAAAUAAAAGGCGAAAUAUUGUUAUUUAAAAAAAUGUUUGAGUUUAAAUUUUUUAUUAACAACUUUGAAAAAAAAAUCGGGUUCUAUAAUAUAUUCACUUUUUCAGAAAAAAAAUUCCUCUCAGUAUCUGGCGAGACUAUGAACUAAUUUAAAAUUUCGCGCUGCAAUUUAAACAGCCAGUCAUGUUUAUUCUAGUGGCUAGCAGUCUGAGCUCUCUAGCAUGAGCGGCUUGGUUCGAUUCCUCUCGUGGCGCAGCAUUUUUUCUUAGAUUUUUUUACUGGCGCGGGCUGUUAUGCUAAUGGGCCGGCCCAUUGCGGCUCUGUGCCUCCUGUGUUAUGUUUUUUUGACUGAAACGAAUUGGGAGAAGGCAAAAACGCCCGCACCAGAGAACAUCUGCGACGUAUCUAGGUCCCACCGUAAACGAAAAUAACUGGAGAAACAAUCCUUCCUUUAAUAUCGCACCAGAGAACAUCUGCGACGUACAAAAGUUAUUUAGGUCCCACCGUAAACGAAAAUAAGUGAAGAAACAAUCCUUCCUUUAAUAUUUGGUUAAGAUAAAGAUAAAGAUUUAGGAGCAGUCGGUACGUCUUUCGUUCGUACCCAGCCUCCCAUCGAUCGCGAAGGCAUCCCCGCUACUUUUUUCCGCUUCUUCGACGUUCGUCGAUUCGUCCCCACCCGCACAGCCAUACGUGGACCAAGCCCUGCAAAAGAACGAGAUCCAACCCACGUCUCUCUAUCAACAAAAGCACGACACGCUAGGGUUAGCAGCCGCCAGCCACGCCCGCCCCUCGAUCGGCUCCUCCCGAGGCGCCAUCGUGCUCUCGCGCACGGCGCUGGCCGCUGUCCUCAAUGCCCCCUCGCACUUCGCAUCUGCUGCCUCAUCCUCCGACCUCCGUCGUCGUGCAGCACAUCGUUGCCAUGGACUCGAACUUCUGAUGCUACGGGGAAGCCGGAUCGGAUCCCACCCCGAGGGCUCGACCUGAGGCUGCGGUGGGUUGUAGAACUCCCCGGCGACAAGCUCAACGGCCUUGUACUUCGCCCGCACAAGCACCAUUGGGUCGACGUCGCUGCCAGUGGCUGCGGCCAUGCAUUUCGAAAUUCCAUGGCAUGAUGCAUAUAAAUUGGAUCAGUAUGUGGGUUCAGAAGAUGAUUUUUUUUCUAUGCUUCCCCUAUGGUGGGUUCGGUUUUGCAUUACUCAAUUUUGCUAAUGUGUCGUUUCUGCAAUGUACCUUCAAUUUUUUUAGUAUACUAAUUUCAAAUGAUUAUAUAAUUUUCUAUGGAUCAGAUUCAUGAAGCUCCAAGCGAGCAAGAAGUUUCAGUCCACCUUUACUCAUGGCCUCCCCUUCUCGUCUGGUAACUCACGUGCUCACUUUGUCAUGAAGAUAGCAUGAACUAAUCUUUUAUCAGGCAACAAAUGCCAUGUCCUAGCACCGGCCAAAAUCCCUUUUUCAUGUGUGAACCAUAUACAGAAAACUGCAUGAUACAUACUGGAAUCUGGUGCUCACUUUUAGAAUAGCUGUUUUUUUUCACCCAACUAGAGAACUUAGGAAGGCUGUUUUUUUCUUCUUCUUUUGUUAUGAUUUUUUCAGUCUUUCGGGUUAAUAAGUGGUUUUUUUCUUUCGCCUUUAGGUUGCAGAAGUGCAAUUGCAACUGUAUGCGUUCACUAGCGACAACACCCAUAGAUAAAUAUACACGCCUAUUACAUGUUGAUGCUGCCCGCUCUUGUUAUACAUUUAUUUUGCAGCGGUCGCUCUGUUCAAUCGUGGUCCAUGCUCUGUUUAAUGCACAUGUCGGAUCAGAAUCAAAAUGAGAUUAUUGUAGCUUCUCUAACCACAUUCGGACUCCUAAUUUUAAGUUUUUGUCUUGCUCUCAGGUUUUUUUUUGAAAAGGGGGACUCCCCAGCCUCUGCAUCAGAACGAUGCAUACGGCCAACUUUAUAAAUAAGCAAACAUGUUCAACAAGGUCUUAAAGUCUCCAACGAAAGUAAAGUAAAGAAAAGCUCACAGAGAGCCAAAAGGCCAAUAACAAACUAGCCAAAAGAAGCCACAACCGGCUGGCAUAAGAGAGAUAGGUAAACUAACUGCCUAUCCUAUUACAUGACCGUCAUCCAAACCGGUUGAAGAUAUCCCGUGCUACCAUCUCCCACCGGAUAGAUCCAGUAACCAAGGGAGUGAGUAGCGACCACGUACGGAUCAACGCAGUGGCUCGGAAAAUAACCUGCAAAAAAUGAAUAUUUGUUGCUCUGUUAAAAACCAAAUCAUUUCUGCAGUUCCAUACUGCCCAUAAUAAAGCACAUGCUCCUACGCGGAUGUGUCGUGCUGUUUCGGACUCUAGCCCAUUAAGCCACGUUUCAAAUAACGUGUUGACAUAUCUCGGAGGAGUAAUAUUGAAGGCAAUAUGGACCGUCCGCCAUAAGACUUUUGCCAACGGGCACUCAAGAAAAAGGUGUUUGAUGGUUUCAUCCCGAUCGCAGAAGUUACACCUAGUAGGUCCUGUCCAGUUACGCUUUGCCAAAUUAUCCUUGGUCAAGAUUACUUGUUUAUGUCUUGCUCUCAGGUGGACGGCCUUGGCAAUCUGAACAAGCUUUACGCGACUGGCGCUCUUGUUGAUUCCUUAUGAGUCAUUUAAGCUGUUUUUGCACAAGGUUGAGAUAGUUGGGGCAUGUAACUGUGUUUUGGUGAGCUUCUUCCUUUCUUUGAGGGUUUCCCAAUCCCUUCUCAAUCCAAAGUUCUGGCUCAGGCUGUGAUUAUAACUUUUAUUGACCUAGAUCUGAUGGUGAUAGUUAUGAAUAAUUCAACUUUUUUCAGAGUAUAUUGAACUGCAUCACACAUAAGUAAUAGAUAUUAACCUAUGCUAACACUAAUAUUUGUAAUUUGUUACACCAUGAUGUUUAAUAUUGCCAGGAUAUUUUUCUUGAAAAGAAAAUAUGAAAUUUACACCUCUUGCACCACUGAUAGAGAUGUGCCUUGCUGUAAUAAGAUGAUGGGCUCAUGACUUAUCUUUCUUGGACAAAACAAGGAAUCUAGCCAUAACUAUGUACAUACCUGGAUACUCAUCUUUUCUUCUCAAGCUAUCAUGUCAAGUGUAGAGGAAAUGAUGAUAUAAAGAAUAAGGAGAAAGACAUGCUGACAGUACAUCCGGUUCCAAUUUUCAUCACACUAUGUACUAAUAUAUGCUCUCAAUGAUAAUAUGCCACCUUGCGCUGUCUACACACGUAACAUGUUCUUCUUUUGUAUGAUUAUACACUAUGAAAUUAUUGUAUGCUUAUCUUGGCUGGAAUUUCAGAGUUGAAAGGACAUGAUGUUUCCAUGCGACGGGAGUUAAUUUUGGUUGUCCUUUGUUUCAUAAUAAAUGUUGGUAUGUUUAGUUGGUGUAACCGGAAUUAAUCACUGGUUAAACAUAUAGAAGGAGUCUCUCUAUUGGAAGGGGAAAAAUAUAAUGUUAGACACCAUUUAUUUUUCUACUCGAUGGUGCAUGCAAUGUAUCAUUUGUCCCUGAUUUAAUGUACUGCACUUUUCUUCAUUGCUCUCUGUUCUUUAAUAAGUCAGACUCAUAUAGAACCUGAUAUUUCUUAGUGAUGUCUUCAGAUCCCACGAAUGUCAUUUUGCACUGAAGGCUUGUAACCAUUGGGAAAUGUUUGCUUGCUCUGAUGUAUCAAGUUGCCAUGGGGGUGAUCUAGAGGUGAAAGCUAGCAAGCCAUCUCCUGAUAUUUUCCUUACUAGCAAGCUUAAUGCGGAACACUUAUAUUUCAGUACUUGUUUGUUUAACUGUGCUAUUCAUCUGCAGGUCUCUUCCUUGUCCGAAGUGUCGUACCGAAUCAAGACAUGUUCAUUUAAUUUACCUGUCAUGUAAAUGACACAACAUGAUUCACUUGUGUAUAGUGUAAAAAUAUAUUUAUUUAUGGCACACAGGUGUUCAAAUUAUAGUUGUAAAACGUGUAUAGUGUAAAAAUAUAAUUAUUAAGGGAAGUGACAUCACAAUGGUCGUGCCUGGUCUUCUCCGAGUCUCUGCUUGUGGUUUGUGUUCUUUAGAUCUGUUCAUGCCCUGAUAUUGCUCUCUGAUUUCAUCUUCUCUGGACUAAUUAGGGCUUUGCUUUUGUUUGCACCAAUUCGAGAUAAUGGUCAUGACAUGCAGCAGCCAAGACAACAAGGUCAAGCCCAGGCUUAGGCCUGAUGAUGAACACAAUUAGAUGCAGGUAGUUCCUUGCAUCCUCAUGUUAGAACUACUUUUUUUACGCUCUUGCUUCUGCAGAUUUCUAAGAAUUUGACUCAUUUUUCGGUCAUUUUGUGCAUUUGUAGUUCACAUAUAUCUAAGUUCCUUUGAUGUGUGUUUCAAAUAAACAAGAGCUCUUGGCAAUGAGAUUUUUUGACCGAACAUAUCAUUUUAACCACAAAUAGAAUACAAAUAAUUGUGAUAUAAACCUAAUUGAUACACCAUUUGAUACAUGUGUUUACAAAAUAGAUCUGAGCAAUUAUUUGUAGUAGUUAUAUUGAUUAGCUGCCUACUUACCUUUUAAGUUCUUUGUGAAUCAAUGUAAUUUUAUUUCGACAAAGUUUGAGAAAAAAAUAUGACGGGGAGCCUUGGCGCAGUGGUAAAGUUGCUACCUUGUGACCAUGAGGUCACGGGUUCAAGUCCUGGAAACAGCUUCUUACACAAAUGUAGGGAAAGGCUGCGUACUAUAGACCCAAAGUGGUCGGACCCUUUCCCGGACCCUGCGCAAGCGGCAUGCAUCGGGCUGCUGAUACGUCUCCAACGUAUCUAUAAUUUUUGAUUGCUCCAUGCUGUUUUAUUAUCAAUCUUGGAUGUUUUAUAAUCAUUUUAUAUCAUUUUUUGGUACUGACCUAUUGACAUAGUGCCAAGUGCAAGUUGCUGUUUUUUCCAUGUUUUUUACAUCGCAGAAAAUCAAUAUCAGACGGAGUCCAAAUGCCACGAAACUUCACGGAGAUUUUUUAUGGACCAGAAGGAAGAUAUUGGGCCCUGGUUGCACCUGGGGGGAGUCCCGAGGAGGGGACAACCCACCAGGGCGCGCCAGGAGGCCCAGGCGCGCCCUGGUGGGUUAUGCCCACCUCAGGUGCCCCCCGGGCUGCCUCUUUGCUCCAUAAAUACCCCAAUAUUCCAGAAACCCUAGGGGAGUCGACGAAAUAUUCAUCCAGCCACCGCAGAGUCCAGAACCACCAGAUCCAAUCUAGACACCAUCACGGAGGGGUUCACCACUUCCAUUGAUGCCUCUCUGAUGAUGCGUGAGUAGUUCUUUGUAGACCUUCGGGUCCGUAGUUAGUAGCUAGAUGGCUCUCUCUCUCUCUCUCUCUCUCUCGCUGAAUUCUCAAUACAAUGGUCUCUUGGAGAUCCAUAUGAUGUAACUCUUUUGCGGUGUGUUUGUUGGGAUCUGAUGAACUUCGAGUUUAUGAUGAGUUAUAUCUUUUUAUAUCCAUGAAAGUUAUUUGAGUUUAUUUGAUCUCUUAUAUGCAUGAUCUCUUAUAGCCUUGUAUUUUUUCUCCGAUAUUUGGGUUUUGUUUGGCCAACUUGAUCUAUUUAUCUUGCAAUGGGAAGAGGUUCCCGGUAGUGGGUUCGAUCUUAUGGUGCUUGAUCCCAGUGACAGAAAGGGAACCGACACGUAUGUAUCGUUGCUACUAAGGAUAAAAAGAUGGGAUCUAUAUCUACGCAAUAGAUAAACGGAUCUUGUCUACAUCAUGUCAUCGUUCUUAUUGCAUUACUCCGUUUUUCCAUGAACUUAAUACACUAGAUGCAUGCUGGAUAGCGGUCGAUGUGUGGAGUAAUAGUAGUAGAUGCAGGCAGGAGUCGGUCUACUAAUCUUGGACGUGAUGCCUAUGUAAUGAUCAUUGCCAGGAUAUCGUCAUAAUUAUUUGAAGUUCUAUCAAUUUCCCAACAGUAAUUUGUUUACCCACCGUUUGCUAUCUUUCUCGAGAGAAGCCACUAGUGAAACCUACAGCCCCGAGUCUUCUUUCUCAUAUAUUUGCUUUGCGAUCUACUUUUUCCUUGCGUUUAUUUUCAGAUCUAUUAAACCAAAAAUACAAAAAAAUACCUUGAUGCAAUUUAUUCUUAUUUAUUUUAUUUGGCGUUCGAUCUAUCAAUCUACUACAAAUUUACCUCACGUCCUUUUGCCUAUCUUGAGGCGCUGUACCCCGAAAGGGAUUGACAACCCCUUUAACAUGUCGGGUUGCGAGGUGUUGUUGUUUGUGUGCAGGGGAUGUUUACGUUGUGUUGCUUGGUUCUCCUACUAGUUCGAUAACCUUGGUUUCAUAUCUGAGGGAAAUACCUACCGCCGUUGUGCUGCAUCAUCCCUUCCUCUUUGGGGAAAUAUCGACGUAGCUUCAAGCGACAUCAAAAGGAAUUUCUGGCGCCGUUGCCGGGGAGGAUCUUCAACAUAACCAGGUUCCUAAUCACAAAUCUCAUCUCCUCGCAAUUUACAUUAUUUGCCAUUUGCCUCUCGUUUUCCUCUCCCCCACUUCACAAAAAAUUUGCCAUUUUAUUCGCCUUUCUUUUUCACCGAUCUCUUGUCUCUAGUCCCGAUGGCUAGCGUCCCUACUCCUCCUUUGUCACCAGAUUUUGAAGUUCUUUACUUCAAGCAAAGACAAGGAGAAAAGUUGAAAGAUGCCUGGUAUAGGCUUAUGGAAUCGUAUCGUGUUUCCAACCUAAAGGGGGAUGCUAAGGUUUUGCUUCGUAAUUUUUACAUAGGAUUAGCUUUGCAUCAUAGACAACUUCUUGAUUUUGCCGCUAAAGGAAAUUUUAUUGAGCUUGAUGCAAACGCUGCCUAUGAAAUCUUGGAAGGAAUUUUGGGAAUUCCUCCUCAAAAGAAGGGGUUUUCCUUUACCCCUGAGGGAGUUCAAAUGUUGGACAAACUUGGUGAUUUACAUAAACAUAUGGUCGAAAUACAGAAAUAUAAUGAACCCCCCAAGCACCUCAAUGGUAGUAUCAAUCGCAUGAAUACCUUGAUUACUCUUUGCAACAAGCGACUGGAUAUUUUGGAUCUUAAGAUGGUUUCUUUUUCGGAGAAUUUAGGGAAGCGUAAAGAGCCUCCCGGGUUUGAGAAAAUUGUUACAAAAGUUGCCAAAACUUCGAAAGACAAAACUCUACCUUGCUUUAUGCCUAGCUAAGGGCGUAAAACUAUAGCGCUUGUUGGGAGGCAACCCAAUGAAUACAUUUUAUUUUUUCUUUCUGUUCUUGAGUGUUAACACAAUUAUGCUACUGUUAUGACUGUGUUUUUUAUGUUUUAAUUAGUGUUUGUGCCAAGUAAAGCCUUUAGGAUCUUCUUGGGUGAUAGUUGUUUGAUCUUGCUGAAAAAGACAGAAACUUUGCACUCAUGAAAAUAAUUUUCAUAAAUCACAGAAAAGAGCUUUUGCCCUGAUUCUUUUUGCAGAAGAUUAAUACACAAAUUAUGCUGGUAGUCCUAAUUUGUUUGAAUUGUUGGAGUUCCAGAAGUAUUCGAAAGUUCCAGAUUACUACAGACUGUUCUGUUUUGACAUAUUCUGUUUUCUUUGUGUUGUGUGCUUAGUUUGAUGGCUCUAUGGUUUUCUUUGAUGAGUUUUUGCCAUAAAAAAGUUGGAAUACAGUAGAUAUAAUACAAAAACAAAAUAUGAAUUGGUUUGACACAACACUUAUAGUAGUGGUUUGCUUUCUUUCACUAACGGAUCUCACAAAGGUUUUGUUGAGUUUUCUGUGAUUGAAGUUUUCAAGUUUUGGGUUAUCUUACGAUGGAUGAGAGAAGGAUAGAAGAGCCUAAGCUUGGGGAUGCCCCGGCAUCCCAAGCAUUAUCCAAGAAUGAGCAACCAACUAAGCUUGGGGAUGCCCCCGAGUGGCAUCCCCUCUUUCUUCUAACGACCAUCGGUAUUUUACUCGAGGCUAUAUUUUUAUUCCUCACAUGAUAUGUGUUUUGCUUGGAGCGUCUUGUAUGAUAUGUGUCUUUGCUUGUUUUAUUUUGUGUUUUAAGUCAUCAAUCCUUGCUGGACACACUUAUUUGGGAGAGCCAAAAUUAUGUCUUGACUUGUUAGAAUUGCUCUCUAUGCUUCACUUAAAUUUUUAUGAGCUAGGACUUGCUCUAGUGCUUCACUUAUAUCUUUUUGAGCAAGGUGUGCUUAGUAUUUUUUGAAGAAAUACUCUCUUGCUUCACUUAGAUUUAUUUGAGAGUUAGUAAAAUUUUGAAGAAAUUCUCUCUUGCUCCACUUAAAUUAUUUUGAGAGAAAGAAAAUAUGUUAUGCUCAUGAUCUUCACUUAUAUUUGUUUGAGCUUAUGUAAAGCAACGCAUGAAAAUUAGUCCCAAAGUGAUAGAUAUCCAAGAAGGAUAAAGAGACAAAUAUAUAUAUAUAUAUAUAUAUAUAUAUAUAUAUGUCAUGAAGAUCGUUGGACAAAAUAAACUUGAUUCUUAGUAAUAGUUUUGAGAUGUGAUGAUGUGAUAUGUGAGUUAUGUUGAUGAGUAAUUAUGCUCUAGUAAGAAUAUUGGUGUUAAGGUUUGUGAUUCCCUAUGCAUGCACGAAAGUCAAUAAUCUUGCAAUGAAAAUUAUAUCCUACUUGUGGUGCAUUAUUCGGUGUUAAUUAUGCUUAAUGCUUGCUUAUGAGAUUAUUCUUUUCUUGGUUGGUCGCUUCUCAAUCUUUUUGCUAGCCUUCAUUUUGCACUAAGUAUGACCUCUACUUGUGCAUCCAAAAUCCUUUAAACCAUCUUUGCCACAUGAGUCCACUAUAUCUACCUAUAUGCGGUAUUCUUUUGCCUUUCUAAGCAAAUUUACAUGUGCCAUCUCUAAUUUUCGAAAUAAACUUCUCUUUUGUGUGUUUGUUUUGCUCACGGAACUGUAACGGGUGGCUAAUAUUUUCCAUGCUGGAUGUGUUAUUCGCACGAUGAGUGUUUAUUCACUUGUCAUUGCACGGGAGUAAGGCAAAGGUUUUAGGGAUGCCCAGUGUUGGAAAUAUGCCCUAGAGGCAAUAAUAAAUGGUUAUUAUUAUAUUUCUUUGUUCAUGAUAAUAGUCUAUUAUUCAUGCUAUAAUUGUAUUGUCCGGAAAUCGUAAUACAUGUGUGAAUACAUAGACCACAACGUGUCCCUAGUAAGCCUCUAGUUGACUAGCUCGUUGAUCAACAGAUAGUCAUGGUUUCCUGACUAUGGACAUUGGAUGUCAUUGAUAACGGGAUCACAUCAUUAGGAGAAUGAUGUGAUGGACAAGACCCAAUCCUAAGCAUAGCAUAAAAGAUCGUGUAGUUUCGUUUGCUAGAGCUUUUCCAAUGUCAAGUAUCUUUUCCUUAGACCAUGAGAUCGUGCAACUCCCGGAUACCGUAGGAGUGCUUUGGGUGUGCCAAACGUCACAACGUAACUGGGUGACUAUAAAGGUGCACUACGGGUAUCUCCGAAAGUGUCUGUUGGGUUGGCACGGAUCGAGACUGGGAUUUGUCACUCCGUGUGACGGAGAAGUAUCUCUGGGCCCACUCGGUAAUGCAUCAUCAUAAUGAGCUCAAUGUGACUAAGGCGUUAGUCACGGGAUCAUGCAUUGCGGUACGAGUAAAGAGACUUGCCGGUAACGAGAUUGAACAAGGUAUUGGGAUACCGACGAUCGAAUCUCGGGCAAGUAACAUACCGAUUGACAAAGGGAAUUGCAUACGGGAUUGAUUGAAUCCUCGACACCGUGGUUCAUCCGAUGAGAUCAUCGUGGAACAUGUGGGAGCCAACAUGGGUAUCCAGAUCCCGCUGUUGGUUAUUGACCGGAGAGGCGUCUCGGUCAUGUCUGCAUGUCUCCCGAACCCGUAGGGUCUACACACUUAAGGUUCGGUGACGCUAGGGUUGUAGAGAUAUAUGUAUGCGGAAACCCGAAAGUUGUUCGGAGUCCCGGAUGAGAUCCCGGACGUCACGAGAGGUUCCGGAAUGGUCCGGAGGUGAAGAAUUAUAUAUAGGAAGUCCAGUUUCGGCCACCGGGAAAGUUUCGGGGGUUACCGGUAUUGUACCGGGACCACCGGAAGGGUCCCGGGGGUCCACCGGGUGGGGCCUGUUGGGAAUCGUAGCAUAAUUUAAAAUUUUCCUACGCUCACCAAGAUGCAUCUAUGGAGUCUACUAGCAACGAGGGGAAAGGAGUGGAUCUACAUACCCUUGUAGAUCGCGAGCGGAAGCGUUCCAAUGAACGUGGAUGACGGAGUCGUACUCGCCGUGAUCCAAAUCACCGAUGACCGAGUGUCGAACGGACGGCACCUCCGCGUUCAACACACGUACGGUGCAGCGACGUCUCCUCCUUCUUGAUCCAGCAAGGGGGAAGGAGAGGUUGAUGGAGAUCCAACAGCACGACGGCGUGGUGGUGGAUGUAGCGGGUCUCCGGCAGGGCUUCGCCGAGCUUCUGCGAGAGAGAGAGAGGUGUUGCAGGGGAGGAGGGAGGCGCCCAAGGCUUAGAUCUUGCUGCCCUCCCUUCCCCCCACUAUAUAUAGGGCCAAGGGAGAGGGGGGGGGGCGCAGCCUUGCCCCUUCCUUCAAGGAAGGGUGCGGCCAGGGGGGAGUCCUUCCCCCCCAAGGCACCUCGGAGGUGCCUUCCCCCUUUAGGACUCUCCCUUCUUUCUUAUCUCUUGCGCAUGGGCCUCUUGGGGCUGGUGCCCUUGGCCCAUAUAGGCCAAGGCGCACCCCUUACAGCCCAUGUGGCCCCCCGGGGCUGGUGGACCCCCUUGGUGGACCCCCGGACCCCUUUCGGCACUCCCGGUACAAUACCGAUAAAGCGCGAAACUUUUCCGGCGACCAAAAUAAGACUUCCCAUAUAUAAAUCUUUACCUCCGGACCAUUCCGGAACCUCUCGUGACGUCCGGGAUCUCAUCCGGGACUCCGAACACCUUUCGGGUUUCCGCAUACAUAUAUCUCUACAACCCUAGCGUCACCGGACCUUAAGUGUGUAGACCCUACGGGUUCGGGAGACAUGCAGACAUGACCGAGACGCCUCUCCGGUCAAUAACCAACAGCGGGAUCUGGAUACCCAUGUUGGCUCCCACAUGUUCCACGAUGAUAUCAUCGGAUGAACCACGGUGUCGAGGAUUCAAUCAAUCCGUAUGCAAUUCCCUUUGUCAAUCGGUAUGUUACUUGCCCGAGAUUCGAUCAUCGGUAUCCCAAUACCUUGUUCAAUCUCGUUACCGGCAAGUCUCUUUACUCGUACCGCAAUGCAUGAUCCCGUGACUAACGCCUUAGUCACAUUGAGCUCAUUAUGAUGAUGCAUUACCGAGUGGGCCCAGAGAUACCUCUCCGUUUACACGGAGUGACAAAUCCCAGUCUCGAUCCGUGCCAACCCAACAAACACUUUCGGAGAUACCCGUAAUGCACCUUUAUAGUCACCCAGUUACGUUGUGACGUUUGGCACACCCAAAGCACUCAUACGGUAUCCGGGAGUUGCACGAUCUCAUGGUCUAAGGAAAAGAUACUUGACAUUGGAAAAGCUCUAGCAAACGAAACUACACGAUCUUUUAUGCUAUGCUUAAGUUGGGUCUUGUCCAUCACAUCAUUCUCCUAAUGAUGUGAUCCCGUUAUCAAUGACAUCCAAUGUCCAUAGUCAGGAAACCAUGACUAUCUGUUGAUCAACGAGCUAGUCAACUAGAGGCUUACUAGGGACAGGUUGUGGUCUAUGUAUUCACACAUGUAUUAUGAUUUCCGGACAAUACAAUUAUAGCACGAAUAAUAGACUAUUAUCAUGAACACAGAAAUAUAAUAAUAACCAUUUAUUAUUGCCUCUAGGGCAUAUUUCCAACAAUUGCCCUUGCGAAGGAGCCCAGGUUUCACAGGAAGACCAGGCAUAUCAAGCGUCGCUUCAACUCCAUUCGUGAAAGUGUUCAAAAUGGAGACAUAGAUAUUUGUAAAGUACAUACGGACCUGAAUGUAGCAGAUCCGUUGACUAAACCUCUCCCUAGGGCAAAACAUGAUCAACACCAGGACGCAAUGGGUGUUCGAUUCAUCACAAUGUAACUAGAUUAUUGACUCUAGUGCAAGUGGGAGACUGUUGGAAAUAUGCCCUAGAGGCAAUAAUAAAUGGUUAUUAUUAUAUUUCUUUGUUCAUGAUAAUCGUCUAUUGUUCAUGCUAUAAUUGUAUUGUCCGGAAAUCGUAAUACAUGUGUGAACACAUAGACCACAACGUGUCCCUAGUAAGCCUCUAGUUGACUAGCUCGUUGAUCAACAGAUAGUCAUGGUUUCCUGACUAUGGACAUUGGAUGUCAUUGAUAACGGGAUCACAUCAUUAGGAGAAUGAUGUGAUGGACAAGACCCAAUCCUAAGCAUAGCAUAAAAGAUCGUGUAGUUUCGUUUGCUAGAGCUUUUCGAAUGUCAAGUAUCUUUUCCUUAGACCAUGAGAUCGUGCAACUCCCGGAUACCGUAGGAGUGCUUUGGGUGUGCCAAACGUCACAACGUAACUGGGUGACUAUAAAGGUGCACUACGGGUAUCUCCGAAAGUGUCUGUUGGGUUGGCACGGAUCGAGACUGGGAUUUGUCACUCCGUGUGACGGAGAGGUAUCUCUGGGCCCACUCGGUAAUGCAUCAUCAUAAUGAGCUCAAUGUGACUAAGGCGUUAGUCACGGGAUCAUGCAUUGCGGUACGAGUAAAGAGACUUGCCGGUAACGAGAUUGAACAAGGUAUUGGGAUACCGACGAUCGAAUCCCGGGCAAGUAACAUACCGAUUGACAAAGGGAAUUGCAUACGGAUUGAUUGAAUCCUCGACACCGUGGUUCAUCCGAUGAUAUCAUCGUGGAACAUGUGGGAGCCAACAUGGGUAUCCAGAUCCCGCUGUUGGUUAUUGACCGGAGAGGCGUCUCGGUCAUGUCUGCAUGUCUCCCGAACCCGUAGGGUCUACACACUUAAGGUCCGGUGACGCUAGGGUUGUAGAGAUAUAUGUAUGCGGAAACCCGAAAGUUGUUCGGAGUCCCGGAUGAGAUCCCGGACGUCACGAGAGGUUCCGGAAUGGUCCGGAGGUGAAGAAUUAUAUAUAGGAAGUCAAGUUUUGGCCACCGGGAAAGUUUCGGGGGUUACCGGUAUUGUACCGGGACCACCGGAAGGGUCCCGGGGGUCCACCGGGUGGGGCCACCUAUCCCGGAGGGCCCCAUGGGCUGAAAGUGGAAGGGAACCAGCCCCUAGUGGGCUGGGCGCCCCCCAUGGGCCUCCCCCCAUGCGCCUAGGGUUGGGAACCCUAGGGUGGGGGGGCUUUCCCCUUGCCUUGGGGGGCAAGGCAACCCCUUCCCCCCCCCUUGGCCGCCGCCCCCCAACCCUAGAUGGGUUUUGGCCGGCCCCCUUCCCAAGGGGGACUAUAUAAAGGGGGGGGGGGGAGGAAGGGCAGCACCCUACAGCCUUGGGCGCCUCCCUCCUCCCCUGCAACACCUCUCUCUCUCUCUCGCAGAAGCUCGGCGAAGCCCUGCCGGAGACCCGCUACAUCCACCACCACGCCGUCGUGCUGUUGGAUCUCCAUCAACCUCUCCUUCCCCCUUGCUGGAUCAAGAAGGAGGAGACGUCGCUGCACCGUACGUGUGUUGAACGCGGAGGUGCCGUCCGUUCGGCACUCGGUCAUCGGUGAUUUGGAUCACGACGAGUACGACUCCGUCAUCCACGUUCAUUGGAACGCUUCCGCUCGCGAUCUACAAGGGUAUGUAGAUCCACUCCUUUCCCCUCGUUGCUAGUAGACUCCACAGAUGCAUCUUGGUGAGCGUAGGAAAAUUUUAAAAUUAUGCUACGAUUCCCAACAGUGGCAUCAUGAGCCAGGUCUAUGCGUAGUUACUAUGCACGAGUAGAACACAAAGCAGUUGUGGGCGUUGAGUUUGCCAAUUCUUCUUGCCGCUACUAGUCUUUUCUUGUUUCGGCGGCAUUGUAGGAUGAAGCGGCCCGGACCGACCUUACACGUACACUUACGUGAGACAGGUUCCACCGACUGACAUGCACUAGAUGCAUAAGGUGGCUAGCGGGUGUCUGUCUCUCCUACUUUAGUCGGAACGGAUUCGAUGAAAAGGGUCCUUAUGAAGGGUAAAUAGAAAUUGGCAAAUCACGUUGUGGUCAUACGUAGGUAAGAAACGUUCUUGCUAGAAACCUACAAACCACGUAAAAACCUGCAACAACAAUUAGAGGACGUCUAACUUGUUUUUGCAGCAAGUGCUAUGUGAUGUGAUAUGGCCAGAAGAUGUGAUGAAUGAUAUAUGUGAUGUAUGAGAUUGAUCAUAUUCUUGUAAUAGGAAUCACGACCUACAUGUCGAUGAGUAUGACAACCGGCAGGAGCCAUAGGAGUUGUCUUUAUUAUUUUGUAUGACCUGCGUGUCAUUGAAUAACGCCAUGUAAAUUACUUUACUUCGUUGCUAAACGCGUUAGCCAUAGAAGUAGAAGUAAUCGUUGGCGUGCCGACUUCAUGAAGACACAAUGAUGGAGAUCAUGGUGUCAUGCCGGUGACAAAGAUGAUCAUGGUGCCCCGAAGAUGGAGAUCAAAGGAGCAUAAUGAUAUUGGCCAUAUCAUGUCACUAUUUGAUUGCAUGUGAUGUUUAUCAUGUUUUUGCAUCUUAUUUGCUUAGAACGACGGUAGUAAGUAAGAUGAUCCCUUAUAAUAAUUUCAAGAAAGUGUUCACCCUAACUGUGCACCGUUGCGAAGGUUCGUUGUUUCGAAGCACCACGUGAUGAUCGGGUGUGAUAGAUUCUAACGUUCGAAUACAACGGGUGUUGACGAGACUAGCAUGUACAGACAUGGCCUCGGAACACACGCAAUACACUUAGGUUGACUUGACGAGCCUAGCAUGUACAGACAUGGCCUCGGAACACGGAGGACCGAAAGGUCGAGCAUGAGUCGUAUAGAAGAUACGAUCAACAUGAAGAUGUUCACCGAUCUUGACUAGUCCGUCUCACGUGAUGAUCGGACACGGCCUAGUUAAACUCGGAUCAUGUUUCACUUAGAUGACUAGAGGGAUGUCUAUCUGAGUGGGAGUUCAUUAAAUAAUUUGAUUAGAUGAACUCAAUUAUCAUGAACUUAGUCUAAAAUCUUUACACUAUGUAUUGUAGAUCAAAUGGCCAACGUUGUCCUCAAUUUCAACGCGUUCCUAGAGAAAACCAAGCUGAAAGAUGAUGGCAGCAACUAUACGGACUGGGUCCGGAACCUGAGGCUCAUCCUCAUAGUAGCCAAGAAAGAUUAUGUCUUAGAAGCACCGCUAGGUGAUGCACCAAUCCCACAGAACCAAGACGUUAUGAACGCUUGGCAAUCACGUGCUGAUGAUUACUCCCUCGUUCAGUGCGGCAUGCUUUACAGCUUAGAACCGGGUCUCCAAAAGCGUUUUGAGAAACAUGGAGCAUAUGAGAUGUUCGAGGAGAUGAAACUAGUUUUCCAAGCUCAUGCCCGGGUCGAGAGAUAUGAUGUCUCCGACAAGUUCUUCAGCUGUAAAAUGGAGGAGAACAGUUCUGUUAGUGAGCACAUACUCAGAAUGUCUGGGUUGCACAACCGCUUGUCUCAACUGGGAGUUAAUCUCCCGGAUGACGCGGUCAUUGACAGAAUCCUCCAGUCGCUUCCACCAAGCUACAAGAGCUUUGUGAUGAACUACAAUAUGCAGGGGAUGGAAAAGACCAUUCCCGAGGUAUAUUCAAUGCUGAAAUCAGCGGAAGGGGAGAUCAGAAAAGAACAUCAAGUGUUGAUGGUGAAUAAAACCACCAAGUUCAAGAAGGGCAAGGGUAAGAAGAACUUCAAGAAGGACGGCAAGGGAGUUGCCGCGCCCGGUAAACCAGUUACUGGGAAGAAGUCAAAGAAUGGACCCAAGCCCGGGACUGAGUGCUUUUAUUGCAAGGGAAGUGGUCACUGGAAGCGGAACUGCCCCAAAUAUUUAGCGGACAAGAAGAAGGCCGGCAACACCCAAGGUAUAUGUGAUAUACAAGUAAUUGAUGUGUACCUUACCAGUACUCGUAGUAGCUCCUGGGUAUUUGAUACCGGUGCGGUUGCUCAUAUUUGUAACUCAAAACAGGAACUACGGAAUAAACGGAGACUGGCAAGGGACGAGGUGACGAUGUGCGUCGGGAAUGGUUCCAAGGUCGAUGUGAUCGCCGUCGGCACGCUACCUCUGCAUCUACCCACGGGAUUAGUUUUAAACCUCAAUAAUUGUUAUUUAGUGCCAGCUUUGAGCAUGAACAUUGUGUCUGGAUCUCGUUUAAUUCGAGAUGGCUACUCAUUUAAAUCCGAGAAUAAUGGUUGUUCUAUUUAUUUGAGAUAUAUGUUUUAUGGUCAUGCCCCGCUGGUCAAUGGUUUAUUUUUGAUGAAUCUCGAACGUGAUGUUACACAUGUUCAUAGUGUGAAUACCAAAAGAUGUAAAGUUGAUAACGAUAGUCCCACAUACUUGUGGCACUGCCGCCUUGGUCACAUUGGUGUCAAGCGCAUGAAGAAGCUCCAUGCAGAUGGACUUUUGGAGUCUCUUGAUUACGAAUCAUUUGACACGUGCGAACCAUGCCUCAUGGGUAAGAUGACUAAGACUCCGUUCUCCGGAACAAUGGAACGAGCAACCAACCUAUUGGAAAUCAUACAUACCGAUGUGUGCGGUCCAAUGAGUGUUGAGGCUCGCGGAGGAUAUCGUUAUGUUCUCACUCUCACUGAUGAUUUAAGUAGAUAUGGAUAUGUCUACCUGAUGAAACACAAGUCUGAAACCUUUGAAAAGUUGAAAGAAUUUCAGAGUGAAGUUGAGAAUCAACGUGACAGGAGAAUAAAAUUUCUACGAUCAGAUCGUGGUGGAGAAUAUUUAAGUCACGAGUUUGGUGCACACUUAAGGAAAUGUGGAAUAGUUUCACAACUCACGCCGCCUGGAACACCUCAGAGAAAUGGUGUGUCCGAACGUCGUAAUCGCACUCUAUUGGAUAUGGUGCGAUCUAUGAUGUCUCUUACCGAUUUACCGCUCUCAUUUUGGGGUUAUGCUUUAGAGACUGCCGCAUUCACUUUAAAUAGGGCUCCGUCGAAAUCCGUUGAGACGACACCGUAUGAAUUAUGGUUUGGGAAGAAACCUAAGCUGUCGUUUCUAAAAGUUUGGGGAUGCGAUGCUUAUGUCAAGAAACUUCAACCUGAAAAGCUCGAACCCAAGUCGGAAAAAUGCGUCUUCAUAGGAUACCCUAAGGAAACGAUUGGGUAUACCUUCUACCUCAGAUCCGAAGGCAAGAUCUUCGUUGCCAAGAACGGGUCCUUUCUGGAGAAGGAGUUUCAUUCGAAAGAAUUGAGUGGGAGGAAAGUGGAACUUGAUGAGGUGAUAGUCACCCCUUCUGAACCGGAAAGUAGCGCAGCGCAGGAAAAUGUUCCUGUGGUGCCUACACCGACUGGGGAGGAAGUUAAUGAUGAUGAUCAUGAAGCUUCGGAUCAAGUUACUGAACUUCGUAGGUCCACAAGGACACGUUCCGCACCAGAGUGGUACGGCAACCCUGUCCUAGAAAUCAUGUUGUUAGACAACGGUGAACCUUCGAACUAUGAAGAAGCGAUGGCGGGCCCGGAUUCCGACAAAUGGCUUGAAGCCAUGAAAUCCGAGAUAGGAUCCAUGUAUGAAAACGAAGUAUGGACUUUGACUGACUUGCCCGAUGAUCGGCGAGCCAUAGAAAACAAAUGGAUCUUUAAGAAGAAGACGGACGCAGAUGGUAAUGUGACCAUCUACAAAGCUCGACUUGUCGCUAAGGGUUAUCGACAAGUUCAAGGGGUUGACUACGAUGAGACUUUCUCACCCGUAGCGAAGCUGAAGUCCGUCCGAAUCAUGUUAGCAAUUGCCGCAUACUAUGAUUAUGAGAUAUGGCAGAUGGACGUCAAAACGGCAUUCCUUAACGGCUUCCUUAAGGAAGAGUUGUAUAUGAUGCAGCCGGAAGGUUUUGUCGAUCCUAAGAAUGCUAGCAAAGUAUGCAAGCUCCAGCGCUCAAUCUAUGGGCUGGUGCAAGCAUCUCGGAGUUGGAACAUUCGGUUUGAUGAGAUGAUCAAAGCGUUUGGGUUUACACACACUUAUGGAGAAGCCUGUGUUUACAAGAAAGUGAGUGGGAGCUCUGUAGCAUUUCUCAUAUUAUAUGUGGAUGACAUAUUAUUGAUGGGAAAUGAUAUAGAAUUCUUGGAAAGUAUAAAGGCCUAUUUGAAUAAGUGUUUUUCGAUGAAGGACCUUGGAGAAGCUGCUUAUAUAUUAGGCAUCAAGAUCUAUAGAGAUAGAUCAAGACGCCUCAUUGGUCUUUCACAGAGUACAUACCUUGAUAAGAUAUUGAAGAAGUUCAGUAUGGAUCAGUCCAAGAAGGGGUUCUUGCCUGUAUUGCAAGGUGUGCAAUUGAGCACGGCUCAAUGCCCGACCACGGCAGAAGAUAUAGAAGAGAUGAGUGUCAUCCCCUAUGCCUCGGCCAUAGGGUCUAUUAUGUAUGCCAUGCUGUGUACCAGACCUGAUGUAAACCUUGCUGUAAGUUUGGUAGGAAGGUACCAAAGUAAUCCCGGCAAGGAACACUGGACAGCGGUCAAGAAUAUCCUGAAGUACCUAAAGAGGACUAAGGAUAUGUUUCUCGUUUAUGGAGGUGACGAAGAGCUCGUCGUAAAGGGUUACGUCGACGCUAGCUUCGACACAGAUCUGGAUGACUCGAAGUCACAGACCGGAUACGUGUAUAUUUUGAAUAGAGGAGUAGUAAGCUGGUGCAGUUGCAAGCAAAGCGUCGUGGCGGGAUCUACAUGUGAAGCGGAGUACAUGGCAGCCUUGGAGGCAGCACAGGAAGCAGUCUGGAUGAAGGAGUUCAUUACCGACCUAGGGGUGAUUCCCAAUGCGUCGGGCCCGAUGACUCUCUUCUGUGACAACACUGGAGCUAUUGCCCUUGCGAAGGAGCCCAGGUUUCACAGGAAGACCAGGCAUAUCAAGCGUCGCUUCAACUCCAUUCGUGAAAGUAUUCAAAAUGGAGACAUAGAUAUUUGUAAAGUACACACGGACCUGAAUGUAGCAGAUCCGUUGACUAAACCUCUCCCUAGGGCAAAACAUGAUCAACACCAGGACGCAAUGGGUGUUCGAUUCAUCACAAUGUAACUAGAUUAUUGACUCUAGUGCAAGUGGGAGACUGUUGGAAAUAUGCCCUAGAGGCAAUAAUAAAUGGUUAUUAUUAUAUUUCUUUGUUCAUGAUAAUAGUCUAUUAUUCAUGCUAUAAUUGUAUUGUCCGGAAAUCGUAAUACAUGUGUGAAUACAUAGACCACAACGUGUCCCUAGUAAGCCUCUAGUUGACUAGCUCGUUGAUCAACAGAUAGUCAUGGUUUCCUGACUAUGGACAUUGGAUGUCAUUGAUAACGGGAUCACAUCAUUAGGAGAAUGAUGUGAUGGACAAGACCCAAUCCUAAGCAUAGCAUAAAAGAUCGUGUAGUUUCGUUUGCUAGAGCUUUUCCAAUGUCAAGUAUCUUUUCCUUAGACCAUGAGAUCGUGCAACUCCCGGAUACCGUAGGAGUGCUUUGGGUGUGCCAAACGUCACAACGUAACUGGGUGACUAUAAAGGUGCAUUACGGGUAUCUCCGAAAGUGUCUGUUGGGUUGGCACGGAUCGAGACUGAGAUUUGUCACACCGUGUGACGGAGAGGUAUCUCUGGGCCCACUCGGUAAUGCAUCAUCAUAAUGAGCUCAAUGUGACUAAGGCAUUAGUCACGGGAUCAUGCAUUGCGGUACGAGUAAAGAGACUUGCCGGUAACGAGAUUGAACAAGGUAUUGGGAUACCGACGAUCGAAUCUCGGGCAAGUAACAUACCGAUUGACAAAGGGAAUUGCAUACGGGAUUGAUUGAAUCCUCGACACCGUGGUUCAUCCGAUGAGAUCAUCGUGGAACAUGUGGGAGCCAACAUGGGUAUCCAGAUCCCGCUGUUGGUUAUUGACCGGAGAGGCGUCUCGGUCAUGUCUGCAUGUCUCCCGAACCCGUAGGGUCUACACACUUAAGGUUCGGUGACGCUAGGGUUGUAGAGAUAUAUGUAUGCGGAAACCCGAAAGUUGUUCGGAGUCCCGGAUGAGAUCCCGGACGUCACGAGAGGUUCCGGAAUGGUCCGGAGGUGAAGAAUUAUAUAUAGGAAGUCCAGUUUCGGCCACCGGGAAAGUUUCGGGGGUUACCGGUAUUGUACCGGGACCACCGGAAGGGUCCCGGGGGUCCACCGGGUGGGGCCUGUUGGGAAUCGUAGCAUAAUUUAAAAUUUUCCUACGCUCACCAAGAUGCAUCUAUGGAGUCUACUAGCAACGAGGGGAAAGGAGUGGAUCUACAUACCCUUGUAGAUCGCGAGCGGAAGCGUUCCAAUGAACGUGGAUGACGGAGUCGUACUCGCCGUGAUCCAAAUCACCGAUGACCGAGUGUCGAACGGACGGCACCUCCGCGUUCAACACACGUACGGUGCAGCGACGUCUCCUCCUUCUUGAUCCAGCAAGGGGGAAGGAGAGGUUGAUGGAGAUCCAACAGCACGACGGCGUGGUGGUGGAUGUAGCGGGUCUCCGGCAGGGCUUCGCCGAGCUUCUGCGAGAGAGAGAGAGGUGUUGCAGGGGAGGAGGGAGGCGCCCAAGGCUUAGAUCUUGCUGCCCUCCCUUCCCCCCACUAUAUAUAGGGCCAAGGGAGAGGGGGGGGCGCAGCCUUGCCCCUUCCUUCAAGGAAGGGUGCGGCCAGGGGGGAGUCCUUCCCCCCCAAGGCACCUCGGAGGUGCCUUCCCCCUUUAGGACUCUCCCUUCUUUCUUAUCUCUUGCGCAUGGGCCUCUUGGGGCUGGUGCCCUUGGCCCAUAUAGGCCAAGGCGCACCCCUUACAGCCCAUGUGGCCCCCCGGGGCUGGUGGACCCUCGGACCCCUUUCGGCACUCCCGGUACAAUACCGAUAAAGCGCGAAACUUUUCCGGCGACCAAAAUAAGACUUCCCAUAUAUAAAUCUUUACCUCCGGACCAUUCCGGAACCUCUCGUGACGUCCGGGAUCUCAUCCGGGACUCCGAACAACUUUCGGGUUUCCGCAUACAUAUAUCUCUACAACCCUAGCGUCACCGGACCUUAAGUGUGUAGACCCUACGGGUUCGGGAGACAUGCAGACAUGACCGAGACGCCUCUCCGGUCAAUAACCAACAGCGGGAUCUGGAUACCCAUGUUGGCUCCCACAUGUUCCACGAUGAUAUCAUCGGGUGAACCACGGUGUCGAGGAUUCAAUCAAUCCGUAUGCAAUUCCCUUUGUCAAUCGGUAUGUUACUUGCCCGAGAUUCGAUCGUCGGUAUCCCAAUACCUAGUUCAAUCUCGUUACUGGCAAGUCUCUUUACUCGUACCGUAAUGCAUGAUCCCGUGACUAACGCCUUAGUCACAUUGAGCUCAUUAUGAUGAUGCAUUACCGAGUGGGCCCAGAGAUACCUCUCCGUUUACACGGAGUGACAAAUCCCAGUCUCGAUCCGUGCCAACCCAACAGACACUUUCGGAGAUACCCGUAAUGCACCUUUAUAGUCACCCAGUUACGUUGUGACGUUUGGCACACCCAAAGCACUCAUACGGUAUCCGGGAGUUGCACGAUCUCAUGGUCUAAGGAAAAGAUACUUGACAUUGGAAAAGCUCUAGCAAACGAAACUACACGAUCUUUUAUGCUAUGCUUAAGUUGGGUCUUGUCCAUCACAUCAUUCUCCUAAUGAUGUGAUCCCGUUAUCAAUGACAUCCAAUGUCCAUAGUCAGGAAACCAUGACUAUCUGUUGAUCAACGAGCUAGUCAACUAGAGGCUUACUAGGGACAGGUUGUGGUCUAUGUAUUCACACAUGUAUUAUGAUUUCCGGACAAUACAAUUAUAGCACGAAUAAUAGACUAUUAUCAUGAACACAGAAAUAUAAUAAUAACCAUUUAUUAUUGCCUCUAGGGCAUAUUUCCAACAAUUGCCCUUGCGAAGGAGCCCAGGUUUCACAGGAAGACCAGGCAUAUCAAGCGUCGCUUCAACUCCAUUCGUGAAAGUGUUCAAAAUGGAGACAUAGAUAUUUGUAAAGUACAUACGGACCUGAAUGUAGCAGAUCCGUUGACUAAACCUCUCCCUAGGGCAAAACAUGAUCAACACCAGGACGCAAUGGGUGUUCGAUUCAUCACAAUGUAACUAGAUUAUUGACUCUAGUGCAAGUGGGAGACUGUUGGAAAUAUGCCCUAGAGGCAAUAAUAAAUGGUUAUUAUUAUAUUUCUUUGUUCAUGAUAAUCGUCUAUUGUUCAUGCUAUAAUUGUAUUGUCCGGAAAUCGUAAUACAUGUGUGAACACAUAGACCACAACGUGUCCCUAGUAAGCCUCUAGUUGACUAGCUCGUUGAUCAACAGAUAGUCAUGGUUUCCUGACUAUGGACAUUGGAUGUCAUUGAUAACGGGAUCACAUCAUUAGGAGAAUGAUGUGAUGGACAAGACCCAAUCCUAAGCAUAGCAUAAAAGAUCGUGUAGUUUCGUUUGCUAGAGCUUUUCCAAUGUCAAGUAUCUUUUCCUUAGACCAUGAGAUCGUGCAACUCCCGGAUACCGUAGGAGUGCUUUGGGUGUGCCAAACGUCACAACGUAACUGGGUGACUAUAAAGGUGCACUACGGGUAUCUCCGAAAGUGUCUGUUUGGUUGGCACGGAUCGAGACUGGGAUUUGUCACUCCGUGUGACGGAGAGGUAUCUCUGGGCCCACUCGGUAAUGCAUCAUCAUAAUGAGCUCAAUGUGACUAAGGCGUUGGUCACGGGAUCAUGCAUUGCGGUACGAGUAAAGAGAAUUGCCAGUAACGAGAUUGAACAAGGUAUUGGGAUACCGACGAUCGAAUCUCGGGCAAGUAACAUACCGAUUGACAAAGGGAAUUGCAUACGGACUGAUUGAAUCCUCGACACCGUGGUUCAUCCGAUGAUAUCAUCGUGGAACAUGUGGGAGCCAACAUGGGUAUCCAGAUCCCGCUGUUGGUUAUUGACCGGAGAGGCGUCUCGGUCAUUUCUGCAUGUCUCCCGAACCCGUAGGGUCUACACACUUAAGGUCCGGUGACGCUAGGGUUGUAGAGAUAUAUGUAUGCGGAAACCCGAAAGUUGUUCGGAGUCCCGGAUGAGAUCCCGGACAUCACGAGAGGUUCCGGAAUGGUCCGGAGGUGAAGAAUUAUAUAUAGGAAGUCAAGUUUCGGCCACCGGGAAAGUUUCGGGGGUUACCGGUAUUGUACCGGGACCACCGGAAGGGUCCCGGGGGUCCACCGGGUGGGGCCACCUAUCUCGGAGGGCCCCAUGGGCUGAAAGUGGAAGGGAACCAGCCCCUAGUGGGCUGGGCGCCCCCCCAUGGGCCUCCCCCCAUGCGCCUAGGGUUGGGAACCUUAGGGUGGGGGGCUUUCCCCUUGCCUUGGGGGGCAAGGCAACCCCUCCCCCCCCCUUGGCCGCCGCCCCCCAACCCUAGAUGGGUUUUGGCCGGCCCCCCUCCCAAGGGGGCCUAUAUAAAGGGGGGGGGGGAGGGAGGGCAGCACCCUACAGCCUUGGGCGCCUCCCUCCUCCCCUGCAACACCUCUCUCUCUCUCUCGUAGAAGCUCGGUGAAGCCCUGCCGGAGACCUGCUACAUCCACCACCACGCCGUCGUGCUGCUGGAUCUCCAUCAACCUCUCCUUCCCCCUUGCUGGAUCAAGAAGGAGGAGACGUCGCUGCACCGUACGUGUGUUGAACGCGGAGGUGCCGUCCGUUCGGCACUCGGUCAUCGGUGAUUUGGAUCACGGCGAGUACGACUCCGUCAUCCACGUUCAUUGGAACGCUUCCGCUCGCGAUCUACAAGGGUAUGUAGAUCCACUCCUUUCCCCUCGUUGCUAGUAGACUCCAUAGAUGUAUCUUGGUGAGCGUAGGAAAAUUUUAAAAUUAUGCUACGAUUCCCAACACCCAGUCCCGAAAUGCAAAAAUGAAUUUACUUUAUGUUGUCAAAUAAUAAAUUCCUUGGAAAGUGUUGGUAUGGAGGGCAACCGUGGAUACGGCUAGCCAUGGAAAGUGAAAGUAUGGUUGAAAGAGGAAUAAACUUUACUUUAUGUUUGGGAACCGCCUAUGAUAUAUCUAGCAUGGAAAGUGUUGGGAACUCUAAGUCGUUUUCGUUGGUGGGAUGGAUACACCUCCCAAAAUGUUUUUAUCUCUAAUUUUUUGCUUUGAGCUCUGGUACCUCUACAAAUCCCUACUCCCCUCUGCGAAGGGCCUUUCUUUUACUUUAUGCAAUUUUUAUUUUGAGUUUGAUUCUCCAUCCUCUCUUAUAAAAGCACCAACUAGGAGGCAAUAUGAUCGUACUUAAGUAUUGGGUGUAGCUAAUAUUCGAGUGUGUUUCAUGAAUGGAUCAAUGUUUGAGCAUGAUGGGCUAGGGAUAACUUGUUUUAGCGUUGAUAUUUUGAAAGACAUGGUUGCUUGUUGAUAUGCUUGAGUAUCUAAAUUAUUAUGUCAAAACUAUACUAUUGCUUUGAAUCACAUAAAAGUCCAAAUGUCCAUGCUAUAAAGAAAAGAAAUAUGAUAUGAUAUGACAUGACAGACAACACUCCACAUCAAAAAUUCUGGUUCUAUCACUUACCUACUCGAGGACGAGCAGGAGGCCCAGGCGCGCCCUAGUGGGUUGUGCCCACCUCGGGUGCCCCUGGACUGCCUCUUUGCUCUAUAAAUACCCCAAUAUUCCAGAAACCCUAGGGGAGUCGAUGAAAUAUUCAUCCAGCCGCCGCAGGGUCCAGAACCACCAGAUCCAAUCUAGACACCAUCACGGAGGGGUUCACCACCUCCAUUGGUGCCUCUCUGAUGAUGCGUGAGUAGUUCUUUGUAGACCUUCGGGUCCGUAGUUAGUAGCUAGAUGGCUUUCUCUCUCUCUCGCUGAAUUCUCAAUACAAUGGUCUCUUGAAGAUCCAUAUGAUGUAACUCUUUUGCGGUGUGUUUGUUGGGAUCUGAUGAACUUCGAGUUUAUGAUGAGUUAUAUCUUUUUAUAUCCAUGAAAGUUAUUUGAGUUUCUUUGAUCUCUUAUAUGCAUGAUCUCUUAUAGCCUCGUAUUUCUUCUCUGAUAUUUGGAUUUGUUUGUCCAACUUGAUCUAUUUAUCUUGCAAUGGGAAGAGGUGCCCGGUAGUGGGUUCAAUCUUACGGUGCUUGAUCCCAGUGACAGAAAGGGAACCGACACGUAUGUAUCGUUGCUACUAAGGAUAAAAAGAUGGGAUCUAUAUCUACGCAAUAGAUAAAUGGAUCUUGUCUACAUCAUGUCAUCGUUCUUAUUGGAUUACUCCGUUUUUCCAUGAACUUAGUACACUAGAUGCAUGCUGGAUAGCGGUCGAUGUGUGAAGUAAUAGUAGUAGAUGCAGACAGGAGUCGGUCUACUAAUCUUGGACGUGAUGCCUAUGUAAUGAUCAUUGCCUGGAUAUCAUCAUAAUUAUUUGAAGUUCUAUCAAUUGCCCAACAGUAAUUUGUUUACCCACCGUUUGCUAUCUUUCUCGAGAGAAGGCACUAGUGAAACCUACGGCCCCCGGAUCUUCUUUCUCAUAUAUUUUCUUUGCGAUCUACUUUUUCCUUGCGUUUAUUUUAUGAUCUACUAAACCAAAAAUACAAAAAUACCUUGCUGAAAUUUAUUCUUAUUAUUUUAUUUGGCGUUCGAUCUAUCAAUCUACUACAAAUUUACCUCAUGUCCUUUGCCUAUCUUGAGGCGCCGUACCCCGAAAGGGAUUGACAACCCCUUUAACACGUCGGGUUGCAAGGUGUUGUUAUUUGUGUGCAGGGGCUGUUUACGUUGUGUUGCUUGGUUCUCCUACUGGUUCGAUAACCUUGGUUUCAUAUCUGAGGGAAAUACCUAUCGCCGCUGUGCUGCAUCAUCCCUUCCUCUUUGAAGAAAUACUGACGUAGCUUCAAGCGACAUCAGCUGCCCUUUUUUUUAGAAAAAAAUUUAGUAGCAGUAAGUACAUCUUGAUCACUGCUGACAAUGAAUAUGUAUGACCAUGGUUUAAAGAAGUUCUACUGUUUUCAAAUAUACCGAGUCAUUUCUAGGUUAUACCGAAGCUUACCUAUUCUCCAAUUGAUAUAGACAUCAAAUAUUCUAAGCUUCCCUGUUGUUAGCAAACAACUUCUCAAACAAGUCAUCAUUAUCAUUCACUCAUUAGGUUAUGGCAAAUGGAGCUGGGAGGAACCGCCUCCUGCCGCUCAGAAAAACUGACCGCUCUACGACCCAAAUUGGUGACAGAUUCUCUAUACUAAAUUAUUUCUUGAGAAGAACAAGUGAAUACAAAGGUCAAAUUAGGAGCUGGGAGGAACCGCCUCCUGCCUUUCUAGGUUGUUAACGAUUUUCUUCAUAGUUUUUUUACAAUUGGUCAAAUUAGGGGUUGUUUUCUUUCUUUGUUACCACAAAAAAAUGUCAUAUGUAGCUUCAAUGUAAAUUAUAACAAGAUGUACGUUGGCAUUAGCUUUCAUUAUUGAGAACUAUGUAUAUUUCAUAUCCAUCCUAAUAUACUUCUCUGAAGCUACAAAAAUAUCAUGUAUAUUGAAAUUUAAUUGUUACCUGGAUGUGCCAUUGAGUGGUUACAAGAUUGUAUUAGAUGGGUGUAGAUGGUGGGCAUAGGAAGAAGAAAAAAAGUGAUAUAGUGGUAAAGAAAUAAGUUGACAAUCCUAAAAUACAUGGUUGACACAAUUGUUUAUGCCCCGGUUGCAACACUCGGGCAAUUACCUAUUUUAUUAGAAUUCCUCUAUAGCUCAUGUUGCAUCUUGUAAAGUCUUUCUUCCUAUUUCUUUGUUCCAUGUUGUGAUUAUGGCCUAUUGGCUCUCCGUUCUUUUCCUAUGGGGAAAAGUUGACACUUUAAUCCCAUGCUCGAACAAUUUACAUACUAUGAUGAUUUGAGAUGAACAAUAACUGUACUAUACUGGGCAAUUUUUUGCCGUUUACUGUAAGUUAGUUCAGUCCAUUUAUGCUUGUUAUUAUAGAGAAUUGUACUUGCUGAUGAAUAGAAAAUGCACAUUUUAUUCUGGUUUGUCUUUAGAAUAAAAACCUGCCUUCAAUCUACAAGAUUUUAUUCUUACACAUACUCUAGGAAAAAAACUAGAAUGAAAAUGUCUGGGUAAAUGUCAGCGCAUUAUGAAGGUUAAACUAUUUAGAGCAAGUACAAUAGGGUGACAUAAGCAGGCUAUAAGGAUUAAAAUAUUACUUCCUCCGUUCCUAAAUAUAAGUCUUUCUUGAGAUUCCAACAAGUGAAUACAUACGGAGCAAAAUGAGUGAAUCUACACUCUAAAAUAUGUCAACAUACAUCCGUAUGUUGUAGCCAUUUGAAACGUCUAAAAAGACUCAUAUUUAGGAACGGAGGGAGUAUAUCUAUGCUUAGUUGAAGGAGAGAGAAGAGUAGAGAGAAUGUAAGCGGGUUGUAGAAUAAGAGCUGGCUAUAGCACGAGACCCAAGUCACUUUGUGAGAAUGUAUGGUGGGCCAGUUAUUAAUAAAGUACUACAUAUUUAAAUCUUACUAUUAUACAAGCCGGCUAUUAGGUUGACUCUAGAUGACAUGACAAUCUCUUAUAGCCAACUAUUGGCUAUAUUAUUAACCAUGCUCUUACUCACUCCCUUGGAGGUUAUAUUCCAUGUAGUUUACACAGCCGGUCCCUUUCAUUAAGUUGUUGGUAUCCUUAUCACCGUGUCUCGCUCCACUUGAAAAGCUCACACGUCCAUACUCGAAGAAUAGACAUGGUGAUACAUUGUUUGAAAAUAUUUUGUUUCUGCUAUUGUGGCAGAGCCCGGGAUGAAUGGUGGGUCCAGUUUAGAACUUGGAGGUACUAGCACUAAGAUAGGAUGGUGGUUGCUACCCUUGUCCCUUGUUGUUGUCCUGUUGUGGUGACAUCGAUCACUGGUUCACUUAGACAUGAGUUAGUGGAUUUUGUGAUAAGAGUGAGGGUUGAGAGUGAGCGGGAUGGGGGUUGGGAUCGGUCUGUUCAGUUAUGGCUGUAUGAGCAGAAUAAUUUCCCUACUUCAGAAAAUAUGGCAAAUUGCAUUUCAUUAGAGAUGGCUCUGGAGCAAAUUGCAUGAGCAGGCGGUUCAUAUAUUGUUUUUGAACAAGUCAAACAAUUUUCUGGUUAGGAUAGAAGGGUAAAUGCAGUGGUUGAUUGCUUCAAGAGUUAAUAAUGGACAUGGUAGCAUAUCAGUUGCAUGCCCAAUAAUGAGCAUCAUAUUUUGUUUCGUGAUAAUGCACGACAUUCAACUGUAUGUUACAAUGUGUCAAAGGCUCGGGAGACAUCGAAACUGCCUUCUUGGCAUGGGGAAGGGGGCAGGGCAUCACGGGUGCCACACACCUCGUCCCCCUUGAUGACGGUGGCNNNNNNNNNNNNNNNNNNNNNNNNNNNNNNNNNNNNNNNNNNNNNNNNNNNNNNNNNNNNNNNNNNNNNNNNNNNNNNNNNNNNNNNNNNNNNNNNNNNNNNNNNNNNNNNNNNNNNNNNNNNNNNNNNNNNNNNNNNNNNNNNNNNNNNNNNNNNNNNNNNNNNNNNNNNNNNNNNNNNNNNNNNNNNNNNNNNNNNNNNNNNNNNNNNNNNNNNNNNNNNNNNNNNNNNNNNNNNNNNNNNNNNNNNNNNNNNNNNNNNNNNNNNNNNNNNNNNNNNNNNNNNNNNNNNNNNNNNNNNNNNNNNNNNNNNNNNNNNNNNNNNNNNNNNNNNNNNNNNNNNNNNNNNNNNNNNNNNNNNNNNNNNNNNNAGAGUGGGGUGGUUGGUGGGGACUCCUCCUUGGCGAUCUGCAGGAAAGUACGGUGUGAAGGUAAGAUGUGCCAUGACGAAGGUGAUGUGGGCAUCAUACGGUUUUAAAGGAGAAGGCUCCAUCGAGAAUGUCCCGCUACGGCGGAAAAUCGAGCCGGAUGGUGAGGGUUCGACAGUAAAAGGAAGGGUGUGUCGUGGGGCUGUGUUGUCUGGGGACCAUGUGUCUGAGAUAACAUGACGAAUAGUCCAGACAACGACACCCCCUCUAUGGGCUUGAAUUGUGGUCCUAGGCGCUUGUUUGAUGUUCGAACACGCCCGGACGUAUGAGGGUGAAAUGAGUUUCGACCUUGAAGACGACCUUAAUCAUUUGUUUAUUUUAUUUAUAUGCAUGGUAGCCCGUAGCAACGCACGGGCGUUCUACUAGUUUUCACUAUGGUUUGACAUACUGGAAAUGACCUUAUUACCCUUGCCCCAAAUCAGCCCCUCCGAGGGAGAACCUUUUUCUGGCGAUUCCUUCCGUGAUCUUUCUGCGCUUCUCCCCGAUGGUUUCUUCAUCCCCAGGCAAGCCAAAACACCCACUUGCAUGAUGGCCAUGCAGUAGCCAUGGUUUUCAACUUGACUAUUUAAUAAAUCUCUACUUGUUUGUCUGCAAUUGUUGUCAUUGAAAAUUAAUAAUUUCUAUACUACAAUGGAUUGGAACAAAAUGAAACAAGAAGGUUUUCUAGCAAUUACGGCAACCACUAUGUACUAAAAACAAGAUAGGACGGUAGAUAGAAAAGGAAAUAGAAAUCCUAACAAACAUGCAAAAAAACACAAGAUCUACUUUAGAAUGAUAAAACUUCAACUUUAUGUUGCGUUCCGACAGUCAUCGGGGGAUGGUGUCUAGUGCGGCACUAAGGAGUACGCGAUUCACGCAUGUCAGGAACCGUGGUUGGGAUGUUGUCCAGUGCGGCCCUCCAGCGGUAAAAAUCUUGGGCCAUCACCUAUGAUUCCAGCGCCCCACCGAGGGCAUUACUAGAAAUUCGCAUACCCUAUGCCACAUGGCUUCCCCGGAUUCCUGGCCUCAUCCCCAAUCGGGGGACAAGCAAGGGUUGCAUCUUGCGCUUACUACUCUUUCUCCCUCGCAUCUCUCGCGCAUCCCUCGCACGGUCGUAGCUCCUCUGCCUUCCUUCUCUAUGGCCCGAGACGCCGCCGCUCCUCCGUGCCUCACUCCUCCUCUUGGCAUUAAGUGGAGAUAGUAGGAGGAUAGAGUCCUUUUUUUCAAGAGAUGUGCUCCGGCCUGGGCUCCCCGGACCCGACGUGCCUGACCCUCUGUGCUGCCGCAAGCGAGGAGCUUCUGUCACGGCCUCCGUGUUGCCCCUCGCCACAUUCCCACUGCUUGUCGAAGGCGCCCCCCUCGGUCGGCUGUUCCCCAUUCCAUCUUUCAGGAACCUAGCAUCGGUCAGUCACAGAACAAAAAUUCACACAGACACACGGAGGAAAAUCCAUCAGCCGAAAUCCAUAAAAUAGGAACCAAAAUCCCAAACUGGAAAGGCCACACCAACUGCGCGACGCCGAAGGAAGAAAAUCAAAAUCGCAAACGAGCGUCGUGCAAGCACGCACUGGUCCGGAGGCGAAAAACCCCCAAAACCAGAGGCCGAGGACCGAUGCCCAGGUGCAGAAUCCCAAGCCCCCGGCCAUUCCACUCCCCGCAAUGCGCGGAAGGAGCGCCAGCGGCCAGGCCGUGGAGGGGAGGGACGCCCCGAGCAACGACGCUUGAAACAGAGGAGGAGGCGGGCGGGUAGGCGAAGCGGUAUCUCUUCGGGUGGGUGCAUGACAGGUGGGGAAUGCGGGUCGGUCGCGGCGGUGGUGACGGCGGCAGAGGCCUAGGGUUUAGCGCGAUCACGGGUGGCGGGCAGUGGCUGCGAUGGGGUUUUGAGAAGCUCUAUGGGAGAAAGAGUGGGGGAAACGCCGUUAUUACCGCAUCCCUCCCUGGUUCUUCCCUCCUUCUGCCGCGCGGCGGUUUUCUUGUCACGGGCCACUUUAGUAGUGGCAGUGGCUUCUGAGCUGUAAAUGUCAGGUCUUUUCGCCACACCAACCCACCCCCACCAUGGGACCAAAAGGAGUUGAAUGUAAUAAUUUCAUUAUUGAUCAAUAAUUGUGGCACAUUUAUUAUGGGGGCGGAAAACAUGAAGAACAUUAAUUCUACUAGAUCGGAGUUGGUGGGACAUACGACUCAGACUAUUUUUAACAUCACGGUAAGCAUGUGCCUAAAUAUUAAUAUUGGAAAAUAAUUACGGUCAAACUGCUGGUGAUAGAUUAGACCAGAUUGCUAGGGUCGGGCCGAGUUGGGCUUGGCCUUUUGGUAUAUUUCCUUUUUUAUGUAGGUAUAUUGGCUGGCCCUAGAUCUUAGGGUGGGGCAUGUCCUACCCUACACCCUGUUGGAUCUACCCUGAAAUGAGCGGCGAGAUCAUAUUUUUGAUGUUGNNNNNNNNNNNNNNNNNNNNNNNNNNNNNNNNNNNNNNNNNNNNNNNNNNNNNNNNNNNNNNNNNNNNNNNNNNNNNNNNNNNNNNNNNNNNNNNNNNNNNNNNNNNNNNNNNNNNNNNNNNNNNNNNNNNNNNNNNNNNNNNNNNNNNNNNNNNNNNNNNNNNNNNNNNNNNNNNNNNNNNNNNNNNNNNNNNNNNNNNNAGCUUAUUCUCAAAGAAUGGACAUGGAAUCCGGUGGUUCCUGAAGGAAAUAUGCCCUAGAGGCAAUAAUAAAGUUGUUAUUUAUAUUUCCUUAUAUCAUGAUAAAUGUUUAUUAUUCAUGCUAGAAUUGUAUUAACCGGAAACUUAGUACAUGUGUGGAUACAUAGACAAACAUAGUGUCACUAGUAUACCUCUACUUGACUAGCUCGUUGAAUCAAAGAUGGUUAAGUAUCCUAGCCAUAGACAUGAGUUGUCAUUUGAUUAACGGGAUCACAUCAUUAGAGAAUGAUGUGAUUGACAUGACCCAUUCCGUUGGCUUAGCACUUGAUCGUUUAGUAUGUUGCUAUUGCUUUCUUCAUGACUUAUACAUGUUCCUAUGACUAUGAGAUUAUGCAACUCCCGAAUACCGGAGGAACACUUUGUGUGCUACCAAACGUCACAACGUAACUGGGUGAUUAUAAAGGUGCUCUACAGGUGUCUCUGAUGGUACUUGUUGAGUUGGCAUAGAUCGACAUUAGGAUUUGUCACUCCGAUUGUCGGAGAGGUAUCUCCGGGCCCUCUCGGUAAUGCACAUCACUAUAAGCCUUGCAAGCAAUGCAACUAAUGAGUUAGUAGCGGGAUGAUUGUUGGAAAUAUGCCCUAGAGGCAAUAAUAAAUAGGUUAUUAUUAUAUUUCCUUGUUCAUGAUAAUCGUUUAUUAUCCAUGCUAGAAUUGUAUUGAUAGGAAACUCAGAUACAUGUGUGGAUACAUAGACAACACCAUGUCCCUAGUAAGCCUCUAGUUGACUAGCUCGUUGAUCAAUAGAUGGUUACGGUUUCCUGACCAUGGACAUUGGAUGUCGUUGAUAACGGGAUCACAUCAUUAGGAGAAUGAUGUGAUGGACAAGACCCAAUCCUAAGCCUAGCACAAGAUCGUCUAGUUCGUUUGCUCAGAGCUUUUCUAAUGUCAAGUAUCAUUUCCUUGGACCAUGAGAUUGUGCAACUCCCGGAUACCAUAGGAAUGCUUUGGGUGUACCAAACGUCACAACGUAACUGGGUGGCUAUAAAGGUGCACUACAGGUAUCUCCGAAAGUGUCUGUUGGGUUGGCACGAAUCGAGACUGGGAUUUGUCACUCCGCGUAAACGGAGAGGUAUCUCUGGGCCCACUCGGUAGGACAUCAUCAUAAUGUGCACAAUGUGACCAAGGAGUUGAUCACGGGAUGAUGUGAGUUACGGAACGAGUAAAGAGACUUGCCGGUAACGAGAUUGAACAAGGUAUCGGGAUACCGACGAUCGAAUCUCGGGCAAGUACCAUACCGAUAGACAAAGGGAAUUGUAUACGGGAUUGAUUGAAUCCUCGACAUCGUGGUUCAUCCGAUGAGAUCAUCGUGGAGCAUGUGGGAGCCAACAUGGGUAUCCAGAUCCCGCUGUUGGUUAUUGACCGGAGAGUCGUCUCGGUCAUGUCUGCAUGUCUCCCGAACCCGUAGGGUCUACACACUUAAGGUUCGGUGACGCUAGGGUUAUAGAGAUAUUAGUAUGCGGUAACCCGAAAGUUGUUCGGAGUCCCGGAUGAGAUCCCGGACGUCACGAGGAGUUCCGGAAUGGUCCGGAGGUAAAGAUUUAUAUAUGGGAAGUCUUAUUUUGGUCGCCGGAAAAGUUUCGCACUUUAUCGGUAUUGUACCGGGAGUGCCGAAAGGGGUCCGGGGGUCCACCAAGGGGGUCCACCAGCCCCGGGGGGCCACAUGGGCUGUAGGGGGUGCGCCUUGGCCUAUAUGGGCCAAGGGCACCAGCCCCAAGAGGCCCAUGCGCCAAGAGAUAAGGAAAAGGGAGAGUCCUAAAGGGGGAAGGCACCUCCGAGGUGCCUUGGGGGGGAAGGACUCCUCCCUGGCCGCACCCUUCCUUGGAGGAAGGGCCAAGGCUGCGCCCCCCUCUCCCUUGGCCCUAUAUAUAGUGGGGGGAAGGGAGGGCAGCAAUACCUAAGCCCUGGCGCCUCCCUCUCCCUCCCGUGACACAUCUCCCUCCUCCCGCAGCGCUUGGCGAAGCCCUGUUGGAAUCCCGCUACUUCCACCACCACGCCGUCGUGCUGCUGGAUCUCCAUCAACCUCUCCUCCCCCCUUGCUGGAUCAAGAAGGAGGAGACGUCGCUGCUCCAUACGUGUGUUGAACGCGGAGGUGCCGUCCGUUCGGCGCUAGGAUCAUCGGUGAUUUGGAUCACGACGAGUACGACUCCAUCAACCCCGUUCUCUUGAACGCUUCCGCUCGCGAUCUACAAGGGUAUGUAGAUGCACUCCUUCCCUCUCGUUGCUAGUAAACUCCAUAGAUUGAUCUUGGUGAUGCGUAGAAAAUUUUGAAUUUCUGCUACGUUACCCAACAGUGGCAUCAUGAGCUAGGUCUAUGCGUAGUUUCUAUGCACGAGUAGAACACAAAGCAGUUGUGGGCGUAGAUGUUGCCAAUUCUUCUUGCCGCUACUAGUCUUAUCUUGUUUCGGCGGCAUUGUGGGAUGAAGCGGCCCGGACCGACCUUACACGUACGCUUACGUGAGACAGGUUCCACCGACUGACAUGCACUAGUUGCAUAAGGUGGCUAGCGGGUGUCUGUCUCUCCCACUUUAGUCGGAACGGAUUCGAUGAAAAGGGUCCUUAUGAAGGGUAAAUAGAAAUUGGCAUAUCACGUUGUGGUUUUUGCGUAGGUAAGAAACGUUCUUGCUAGAAACCCAUAGCAGCCACGUAAAACAUGCAACAACAAUUAGAGGAUGUCUAACUUGUUUUUGCUGGGUAUGCUAUGUGAUGUGAUAUGGCCAAAAGGAUGUGAUGAAUGAUAUAUGUGAUGUAUGAGAUUGAUCAUGUUCUUGUAAUAGGAAUCACGACUUGCAUGUCGAUGAGUAUGACAACCGGCAGGAGCCAUAGGAGUUGUCCUUAUUUUUUUGUAUGACCUGCGUGUCAUUGAAUAACGCCAUGUAAAUUACUUUACUUUAUUGCUAAGCGCGUUAGACAUAGAAGUAGAAGUAAUCGUUGGCGUGACAACUUCAUGAAGACACAAUGAUGGAGAUCAUGAUGAUGGAGAUCAUGGUGUCAUGCCGGUGACAAAGAUGAUCAUGGUGCCCCGAAGAUGGAGAUCAAAGGAGCAAAAAUGAUACUGGCCAUAUCAUGUCACUAUUUGAUUGCAUGUGAUGUUUAUCAUGUUAUGCAUCUUAUUUGCUUAGAACGACGGUAGCAUAAAUAAGAUGAUCCCUCACUAAAAUUUCAAGAGACGUGUUCCCCCUAACUGUGCACCGUUGCGAAGGUUCGUUGUUUCGAAGCACCACGUGAUGAUCGGGUGUGAUAGAUUCUAACGUUCGAAUACAACGGGUGUUGACGAGCCUAGCAUGUACAGACAUGGCCUCGGAACACAUGCGAAACACUUAGGUUGACUUGACGAGCCUAGCAUGUACAGACAUGGCCUCGGAACACAAGAGACCGAAAGGUUGAGCAUGAGUCGUAUAGAAGAUACGAUCAACAUGGAGAUGUUCACCGAUGAUGACUAGUCCGUCUCACGUGAUGAUCGGACACGGCCUAGUUUGACUCGGAUCAUGUAUCACUUAGAUGACUAGAGGGAUGUCUAUCUGAGUGGGAGUUCAUUAAUCAGACGAACUUCAUUAUCAUGAACAUAGUCAAAAGGUCUUUGCGAAUUAUGUCUUGCUCUUAAGUUCUACUGGUUGAGAUAUGUUCCUAGAGAAAAUUUAGUUGAAAGCUGGUAGUAGCAAUUAUGCGGACUGGGUCCGUAAACUGAGGAUUGUCCUCAUUGCUGCACAGAAGGCUUAUGUCCUUAAUGCACCGCUCGGUGUGCUGAACCUCAGCAUCGUCUGUAGAUGUUGCGAAACAUCUGACAUACACGUUUUGAUGACUACGUGAUAGUUCAGUGAGUAAUGCUAAUGGUUUAGAAUUGUGGCACCAAAGACGGGUUUUUGAAACGUCGUAGAACAUAUGAGAUGUUCCGAAGACUGAAAUUGGGAUUUCGGACUAGUGCGCACAUCAAGAGGUAUGAGACCUCUGACAAGUUUCUUAAGCCUGCAAACUAAGGGAGAAAAGCUCAAUCGUUGAGCAUGUGCUCAGAUUGUCUGAGUACUACAAUCGCUUGAAUCGAGUGGGAGUUAAUCUUCCAGAUGAGAUAGUGAUGGUUCUCCAUAAUCACUGCCACCAAGCUAUUAGAGCUUCGUGAUGAACUAUAAAUAUCAAGGAUAGAUGAUGAUCCUUGAGCAACUCGCGAUGUUUGACACCGCGAAAGUAGAAAUCAAGAAGGAGCAUCAAUUGUUGAUGGUUAGUAAAACCACUAGUUUCUAGAAGGGCAAGGGCAAAAGGGAUACUUCAUGAAACAACAAAUCGUUUGCUGCUCUAGUGAAGAAUCCCAAGGUUGAACCCAAACCCGAGACUAAGUGCUUCUGUAAUGAGGGGAACGGUCACUGAAGCAGUACUACCCUAGAUACUUGGUAGAUGAGAAGGCAGGCAAGGUCGACAGAAGUAUAUUGGAUAUACAUUAUAUGAAUGUGUACUUUACUAGUACUCCUAGCGGCACCAGGGUAUUAGAUACCGGUUCGGUUGCUAAGUGUUAGUAACUCGAAAUAAAAGCUGCGGAAUAAACGGAGACUAGCUAAAGGUGAGAUGACGAUAUGUGUUGGAAGUGUUUCCAAGGUUGAUGUGAUCAAGCAUCGCAUGCUCCCUCUACCAUCGAGAUUUGGUGUUUGCGUUGAGCAUGAUUGGAUUAUGUUUAUCGCAAUACGAUUAUUCAUUUAAGGAGAAUAAUGGUUACUCUGUUUAUUUGAAUAAUACCUUCAAUGGUUUUGCACCUAAAAUGAAUCUCGAUCGUAGUGAUACACAUGUUCGUGCCAAAAGAUAUAAAAUAGUAAUGAUAGUUCCACAUACUUGUGGCACUGCCAUUUGAGUCAUAUUGGUAUAGAACGCAUGAAGAAGCUCUAUGUAGAUGGAUCUUUGGACUCACUCGUUUUUUGAAAAGAUUGAGACAUGCGAACCAUGUCUAUUGGUAUAUAUGCAUGUAGAAACUCCAUGCAGAUGGAUCGUUUGGACUCACUUGAUUUUGAAUCACUUGAGACAUGCAAAUCAUACCACAUGAGCAAGAUGACUGAAAGUCCUCGUUUUCAGUAAGAUGGAAUAAGAGAGCAACUUAUUGGAAGUAAUACAUUUUGAUGUAUGCAGUCCAAUGAGUGCUGAGGCAUGCAGUGGAUAUCGUUAUGUUCUUACUUCAUAGAUGAUUUGAGUAGAUGCUGAGUGUAUUUACUUGAUAAAACACAAGUCUGAAUUAUUGAAAGGUUCAAGUAAUUUCAGAGUGAAGUUGAAGAUCGUCGUGACAAGAGGAUAAAAUGUCUGUGAUAUGAUCAUAGAGAUGAGUAUCUGAGUUACGAGUUUGGCACACAAUUAAGACAUUGUGGAAAGUGUUUCGCAAUUAAGACCGCCUGGAACACCAUAGUGUGAUGGUGUGUCCGAACAUCAUUGGAUAUGGUGCAUACCAUGAUGUCUCUUAUCGAAUUACCACUAUCGUUUAUGGGUUAGGCAUUAGAGAUAACCGCAUUCACUUUAAAAGGGGCACCACGCAAUUCCGUUGAGACGACACCGUUUAGAGAAACCUAAGUUGUCGUUUCUUAAAAGUUUGGGGCUGCGAAGCUUAUGUGAAAAAGUUUCAGGCUGAUAAGCUCGAACCCAAAGCGGAUAAAUACAUCUUCAUAAGAAUACCCAAAACAGUUGGGUAUACCUCCUAUUUCAGAUCUGGAAGCAAAAGUAAUUGCUUCUAGAAACGAGUCCUUUCUCGAGGAAAAGUUUCUCUCGAAAGAAUUGAGUGGGAGGAUGGUGGAGACUUGAUGAGGUUAUUGAACCAUAACUUCAACUAGUGUGUAGCAGGGCACAUGAAGUUGUUCCUGUGGCACCUAUACCAAUUGAAGUGGAAGCUUAUGAUAGUGAUCAUGAAACUUCGGAUCAAGUCACCACCAAACCUCGUAGGACGACGAGGAUGCGUAAUACUUCAGAGUAGUACGUGAUCCUGUCUUGGAAGUCAUGUUGUUGGACAACGAUGAACCUAUGAGCUAUGGAGAAGCGAUGGUGGGCCCAUAUUCCGACAAAUGGUUAGAAGCCAUGGAAUCCGAGAUAAAUGGAUCUUUAAGAAGAAGACGAACGUGGACGGUAAGGUUACCGUCUAUGAAGCUCGACUUGUGGCAAAGAGUAUUUUCACAAGUUCAAGGAGUUGACUACGAUGAGAUUUUCUCAUCCGUAGCGAUGCUUAAGUCCGUCGGAAUCAUGUUAGCAUUAGAUGCAUUUAUGAAAUCUGGCAGAUGGAUGUCAAAACAAGUUUCCUUACCAGUUUUCGUAAGGAAAGAUUGUAUGUGAUACAAUCAGAAAGGUUUUGUCAAUCCUAAGGAUGCUAAAAGGUAUGCUAGCUCCAGCGAUCCUUCCAUGGACUAGAGCAAGCAUCUCGGAGUCAGAAUAUACGCUUUGAUGGAGUGAUCAAAGUUUUCGGGUUUAUACAAAGUUUGUUAGAAACUUGUAUUUACAAUAAAGUGAGUGGGAGCGCUACAACAUUUCUGAUAAGUAUAUGUGAAUGACAUAUUGUUGAUCCGAAAUGAUGUAAAAUUUCUGGAAAGCAUAAAGGGUUGUUUGAAAGGAGUUUUUCAAAGGAAGACCUGGAUAAAAGCUGCUUACAUAUUGGGCAUCAAGAUCUAUAGAGAUAGAUCAAGACGCCUGAUGAUACUUUCAAAGAACGCACACCUUGACAUGAUUUUGAAAGAGUUCAAAAUAGAUCAGCAAAGAAGGAGUUCUUGGGUGUGUUACAAGGUGUGAGUAUUGAGUAAGACUCAAGACCUGACCACAGCAGAAGAUAGAGAAAGGACGAAGGUCGUCCCCUAUGCUUCAGACGUAGGCUCUACAGUAUGCUAUGCUGUGUACCGCACAUGAAGUGUGCCUUGCCAUGAGUUGGUCAAGAGGGUACAAUAGUGAUCCGGGAAAGGAUCACAUGACAGCGGUCGAACUUAUCCUUAGUACCUAGUGGACUAAGGAAUUUUCUCGAUUAUGGAGGUGAAAAGGAGUUCGUCGUAAAGGGUUACGUCGAUGCGAACUUUGACACUAAUCCGGAUGACUCUGAGUAGUAAACCGGAUUCGUAUAGUAGAGCAAUUAUUUGAAAUGGCUCCAAGUAGCGCGUGGUAGCAUCCACAAGAUGACAUAAAUAUUCGUAAAGCACGCACGGAUCUGAAAGGUUCAGACCCGUUGACUAAUAACCUCUCUCACAAGCAUAACAUGAUCAAACCAGAACUCAUUGAGUGUUAAUCACAUAGUGAUGUGAACUAGAUUGUUGACUCUAGUAAACUCUUUGGAUGUUGGUCACAUGGUGAUGUGACCUAUGAGUGUUAAUCACAUGGUGAUGUGGACUAGAUUAUUGACUCUAGUGCAAGUGGGAGACUGUUGGAAAUAUGCCCUAGAGGCAAUAAUAAAUAGGUUAUUAUUAUAUUUCCUUGUUCAUGAUAAUCGUUUAUUAUCCAUGCUAGAAUUGUAUUGAUAGGAAACUCAGAUACAUGUGUGGAUACAUAGACAACACCAUGUCCCUAGUAAGCCUCUAGUUGACUAGCUCGUUGAUCAAUAGAUGGUUACGGUUUCCUGACCAUGGACAUUGGAUGUCGUUGAUAACGGGAUCACAUAAUUAGGAGAAUGAUGUGAUGGACAAGACCCAAUCCUAAGCCUAGCACAAGAUCGUCUAGUUCGUUUGCUCAGAGCUUUUCUAAUGUCAAGUAUCAUUUCCUUAGACCAUGAGAUUGCGCAACUCCCGGAUACCGUAGGAAUGCUUUGGGUGUACCAAACGUCACACGUAACUGGGUGGCUAUAAAGGUGCACUACAGGUAUCUCCGAAAGUGUCUGUUGGGUUGGCACGAAUCGAGACUGGGAUUUGUCACUCCGCGUAAACGGAGAGGUAUCUCUGGGCCCACUCGGUAGGACAUCAUCAUAAUGUGCACAAUGUGACCAAGGAGUUGAUCACGGGAUGAUGUGAGUUACGGAACGAGUAAAGAGACUUGCCGGUAACGAGAUUGAACAAGGUAUCGGGAUACCGACGAUCGAAUCUCGGGCAAGUACCAUACCGAUAGACAAAGGGAAUUGUGUACGGGAUUGAUUGAAUCCUCGACAUCGUGGUUCAUCCGAUGAGAUCAUCGUGGAGCAUGUGGGAGCCAACAUGGGUAUCCAGAUCCCGCUGUUGGUUAUUGACCGGAGAGUCGUCUCGGUCAUGUCUGCAUGUCUCCCGAACCCGUAGGGUCUACACACUUAAGGUUCGGUGAUGCUAGGGUUAUAGAGAUAUUAGUAUGCGGUAACCCGAAAGUUGUUCGGAGUCCCGUAUGAGAUCCCGGACGUCACGAGGAGUUCCGGAAUGGUCCGGAGGUAAAGAUUUAUAUAUGGGAAGUCUUAUUUUGGUCGCCGGAAAAGUUUCGCACUUUAUCGGUAUUGUACCGGGAGUGCCGAAAGGGGUCCGGGGGUCCACCAAGGGGGUCCACCAGCCCCGGGGGGCCACAUGGGCUGUAGGGGGUGCGCCUUGGCCUAUAUGGGCCAAGGGCACCAGCCCCAAGAGGCCCAUGCGCCAAGAGAUAAGGAAAAGGGAGAGUCCUAAAGGGGGAAGGCACCUCCGAGGUGCCUUGGGGGGGAAGGACUCCUCCCUGGCCGCACCCUUCCUUGGAGGAAGGGCCAAGGCUGCGCCCCCCCUCUCCCUUGGCCCUAUAUAUAGUGGGGGGAAGGGAGGGCAGCAAUACCUAAGCCCUGGCGCCUCCCUCUCCCUCCCGUGACACAUCUCCCUCCUCCCGCGACGCUUGGCGAAGCCCUGUUGGAAUCCCGCUACUUCCACCACCACGCCGUCGUGCUGCUGGAUCUCCAUCAACCUCUCCUCCCCCCUUGCUGGAUCAAGAAGGAGGAGACGUCGCUGCUCCGUACGUGUGUUGAACGCGGAGGUGCCGUCCGUUCGGCGCUAGGAUCAUCGGUGAUUUGGAUCACGACGAGUACGACUCCAUCAACCCCGUUCUCUUGAAUGCUUCCGCUCGUGAUCUACAAGGGUAUGUAGAUGCAUUCCUUCCCUCUUGUUGCUAGUAAACUCCAUAGAUUGAUCUUGGUGAUGCGUAGAAAAUUUUGAAUUUCUGCUACGUUACCCAACAAUGAUGUGUUACGGAACGAGUAAAGAGACUUGCCGGUAACGAGAUUGAACUAGGUAUUGGGAUACUGACGGUCGAAUCUCGGGCAAGUAACAUACCGAUGACAGAGGGAACAACGUAUGUUGUUAUGCGGUUUGACCGAUAAAGAUCUUCGUAGAAUAUGUAGGAGCCAAUAUGAGCAUCCAGGUUCCGCUAUUGGUUAUUGACCGGAGAUGUGUCUCGGUCAUGUCUACAUAGCUCUCGAACCCGUAGGGUCCGCACACUUAACAUUCGGUGACAAUACCCUUAUUAUGAGUUUAUGUGAUUUGAUGUACCGAAGGUAGUUCGGAGUCUCGAAUGAGAUCGGGGACAUGACGAGGAGUCUCGAAAUGGUCGAGACGUAAAGAUCGAUAUAUUGGAAGGCUAUAUUCAGACAUCGGAAAGGUUCCGAGUGAUUCAGGUAUUUUUCGGAGUACCGGGGAGUAAUGGGAAUUCCUCCGGGGAGUCAAUGGGCCACUAGUAGAAAAAGGGCCUAUUGUCCCGGUUGGUAAGGGCCUUUUGUCCCGCUUUUUGAACCGGGACUAAAGGGUCGUUACUAAUGCCCUAAGCGUUUAGUCCCGGUUCUUACACGAACCGGGACAGAUGGGCCUCCACGUGGCCGCUGCGGCCAGCCCAGGCCGGGGGGCGUUUGGUCCCGGUUGGUGACACCAACCGGGACCAAUAGGCAUCCAUGCGUCAGCAUCUGGCUGGAGCUAAGGUUUUUGUUUUUUUUGAAAGGGGCUGAUUUAGGGGCUUUGGGGGUUAAUUUAGAUUGUUAUUAGGUAGCUAUUAGAGAGAAGUGUCCUCUCUUAUAUCUCCGUGCAUCAUCAUAUAUAAUAACAAGUCCUACUAAUCAUCAUCAUACAACUUCUACUCUUUAUUAAUAACCAGUCAUACGAUCAUCAUCCUCAUAGUCAUCAAACCAACCCUACUUAAUUGUUCUUAGCACAUGAUCAUCAGUAUUAGGUAGGACCGAAAUACCCUCUUUAAGGUAAAAUAGCAUAAAACAAUAUAGACCUUGACUCUCCAUUAUGGAGAAUGGAGAUCAUCCUGUCUCCAAUUCUUGCGCUUCGCUUCCUUUUGCUUCCAAGAACCUCCUUGCGACUGUCCAUACAUUUUUCCAUUCUUUGAUUUGCAUGUCUCCACUUCUUUUAGAAAUCCGGUAUGGACAGUUGAGAUUCGUAGGAUGACCUGGUUGUAUGUUCAAAACAUCAAGCCUACCAUUCUGAUACAUCAAAUGAGGCACACAAUCCUCUGGGAUUAUCUGUUGAAAAACAUAGUAAUAACUUCAUAGUUAGCAAUGAUGUACUAGUUUUAGAAGUAUGCAAAAGAUGCACGGAUGUCGUAAUAGUAAGAAAUCUUACCAGGGUAUCUCCAUAGUAGUUACGGUAGUUCACACGUGCACUAGUGGCACGUAUUGACCAUAAUGUGGAGGAGUUUUACAAUAGAUAUUGUAAUUCUCAAGAUCGGCACAAAAUCCGACCAGAUGAGUUUUCUCCUUAUAAGUUAACUCAGAGCCAUCGGUGUAGUAGGUUCUGUCUACCAUGUUCCGCACAUUGUUUGAACAAUCAAAAUAAGCUGUCAAUGAAAAUAAGCUGUCAACUAUUUUGAAAUGAACAAUAUAAAUUAGCUAAUAACUAUGUUUGAGAAACUCACAUAGCGGUAGAAUUGGAGGCGUAUCAACAAGGACCCAAAUGUCCAUAUUGUCUUGCUCGAUGUCAGGAUCACCAAGAUCCAUGGUGACAAGCAUACCCUCAUCAAAACCAUACAUCUUGCAAAAUGCUUCCCAAUUUUUGCAACCAAAAUGGGUUACGCUCUCAGAAUUAUACAGAUUUACUUCAAAAUCUAUAUCAUGAUGGGUCCUUAGGUGAAUUUUCUUUGUUUCCAUACUUUCAUGGUCUUCAAAACCCAUCCUCUCCAAGACGUAGCGUCUUGCAUGGCAUGGGAUAAGCUAGCCGAAUUGUAAAAGAUGAAAAUUACAGGUUGAAAUAGUUGAAGUCGUGCUUAAUUACGAAAAAAUAACACUUGUCGUCGUUGCGUACCGUUUGAACAUCGAAGGUCUCCUCCAGCUUAAUACUGAAGCGCCGAUCUUCGUCCAGGUGAGGCCUGUCGCACUGACCUCGGUCGUCGUGGCACCAGUCGCACUCCCCCGGGAGACUUUCGUCGUCUGAGUACGCCAUUUCCUAUGUUCAUAAUUCAAAUAUUACGUCUACAAUUAAAUAUAUGUACUAAAAAACCUAAGUUAGAUCAUUAUUAUUCAUCAUGGGUUGACUAUCGGUUUGUCGAGUCUUUUCUUGAAAACUCUCAGCUCACGUGGUGUAUACAUUCGACCGUUGGUGAUGGUCGCUCCUCCAUUUGUCCCCGAGUGCAUUACACCAAAAUGUCUAGCACACGGGAACAAAGGAGAAGCGACCCCCACGACAACAGUUGGGAUUUCUCGUCCUCUCAUAUAUAUAUGGUGGAACUCUCCCUCGCUGAUUCCUCUCUAACAUUUGCGACCGUCGGUGAUGGUAUGGUAGCUCCUCCUUUCGUUCUCAAGUGCAUUACACCAAAUUGUCUAGCACACGGGAACGAAGGAGAAGCUACCCCCGCGACAACAGUCGGGAUUCUUCGUCCUCUCAUAUAUGGUGGAGACUCGACAGACUUACAGUCAACCCGAAAUAUCGUUUAAUUAUCUUUCUAAAAGAGGAUUUGGCUAGUCUCACCUCAAUGUCGGAGGGGGCGGUGACGGGGACGAUGGCGGGGAUGAUGGAGGGGCCAGGGGCUCCUAGAUUUCUGCGAAAACAAAAACCCUAUAAGCUAUCAACUAAUCAUAUGCAUACGCCUUGCAUAGUGCUCUCCAAUUUUAGCAUUCAAAGUAGGAGUAGUUUUCCACUUUGAGCAUUCAAUAAGCAAAAUCAAAUCACAAAAUAAAGUAGUAUUCAAAUUAGGAUGCAUUCAAUUAUAAGCAAAACUACAUCAUCUCCAUGCGUCUGUACAUCGUCGAAU
rnacentral:lncRNA from 1 species